AGUAAGUAACUUGAUCGUAUAUGACCUGCAACUGGACUUGAAUUCUGUGACUGCUUGAUAAUGUGAAUUGCUCGGCAUAGGCUAGGCGAGUGAGUUCCUAUUCGUACCCGUGCUCCAUGAACUUGAAGUAAUUGACCCUGCUUUUAAACUUGUGUGCUUUUAUAUGUGGUUGUAAACCGGCUACUACUCUUCCGUAGCGGUUGAACUGAACCUCUAUGUUGGGACAUUGCCUGUGUUAUCAAGCACCGCCAUUCUUCUAGCGUGGCAUGCCUGUUGUGCUAUCAAGCACCGCCAGGGAUGAAAUUUUUGAAUUAAGGCUCUCUAGUGAAAUAUAGCUGUUGUGCCAGCUUGUUGUAUUGUCUAGCACCAUCGGGGACAAAUUCCUGAGACUUUUCGGUGAAGUAUAGACGUGUGCUAGCUUGUUGUGUUGUCCAGCACUACCAAGGGUAAAAUUUCCGAUCUGUGCCUUCGCUAUGUCCUGAAUUUCUUUCAAAUAUCCGGGACUUUAUUUCCAACUCAGGGCUAGUUGUUUGAAUCAAGCCCUUUUGCAUGUUCUUUUUUUUAUUUGUUUACCUAUCUUUUAGGCCGUUACAAAGUGACAAAUGGGAUUAGAGUGAUUCUUAGUACUCGACUGACUUUUGAGGACUAUUUUGAUCUGAUUAGUAUAAGUUGAAAUGUCGAGGACAACAUUUUUUUAAGGGGGAGUUUGUGACUCCCGAAAGAAGAAGAAAAAGACAAAAUUUCUGGUGAAUAGUGAACGGUAAGAAUCCGGCCGGAAAUCCGGUCAGUUCUUGGCCGGAUUCUUGUCCAGAUUGGUUGGAGUUUUGAAAAAAUUUUAAUUCGCCACUACCUUGAAUCCAGCCUGAAACGGAUUGUGACGUGUCACCUCCGGCAGCCAACAUUGAUUGGUUGUUUCUCUUCGCUCUUAUCUUGUUUCUUGGCUGAAAUAUCUUCCAUUGUUGCUCUUUCUUGGCCGGCACUUUGAGGAGCAAAAGAAGAGAGAAAGUCUUCAAUUCUUGCUCAAUCACCUUUAGUUUUGCAAUCCAUUCCAUACAGGUGCUCAUUAAGGACGUUUAAAGCUAUUGAUGGAGUGAUUUUUGAAUGGGAAGCUCUAAGUUGCUAGCUUUCUUGAGUUUUGAGGUAAGUUAAAUAAGAAAGUUCUCUCUUUGCUUUAAUAAUGGUUAAUUAGUGAUUUGUAGAUGUUAGAUAUGCUAUUUUAUGGAUGAUUUCAAGAUUUUAAAUAGAGUUUGACCAAUUUCAGAUUUAUUAGUGAAUUUUCUGAUUUUAGAUGAUAAUUAUUGGUUGGUCAUGGAAUGAUAGCUUGAUAUGGUGUGAAAUGGAGCCUUUGUGUAUUAGUUGUGGUUAUUUGCGAUAAAUUUCAGACUUUAUGCGGAAAUUUCAGUUUUAGGAUUUUGAUUUGGGGCUUUCUUAUGGUUGGUUAUUGAGCUCUUAAUUGGUUAAGAUUUAAGGGUAUUAUGGCCCUAAUUAGGUGUGUUUAUAGCUUAUGAUUUGUGUGUGCUGUUUUGAAUGGAUAUUGGUGAUUGUUGUAGGAUGAAAAUAAGGAAAUUUAAGGGGAAGUGCUGUCCAAUCUUUGAGGACGUUUAAUCGCUUUGAGUUUGGGUUAAUUCUUGGUAGAAUGAAGAGCUCGGACUUGAUCGAGGAAACUGUCUAUGAUGGAUUAGGUUCAUGAGCCAUAGUUGCUGAUGAUCUCCAAACUAUUUCCAAAGUUGCUUAUGAACUGUUUCUUGCACUGUUUACUCGAUUGCAUAUCAUGUGUGCUUGCAUGUGUACAAUGAAAUGAUUGGCUCAAAUGAGUGCUGGGAAGUCUUGUGCUUAGAACCAACGUCUCCACCACCGUUUACUGUUUAUUUGGAUUUGGAGCACAAAUGGCUACCUAUUACUGUUCACUGUUACUGGAUCUAUUUGAGCGUUGGAUGUUUAAGUACAAUGAUUUCACUGACUCACAAGAGCAAUAAACGUACAUUUGAUUAUUGAUUCAUGGCAUCAUUGAAAUGAACUAUUGUCAAACUCAUUUGAUUACUGAUUUUGCUGGUCACUCGCUGAGCUUUUAGCUCACCUAAAAUAUGCUUUUCCCUCCACAGGGCUCGAGGCAAAGGAAGCUUGUAUUAAGUUCUUCGUGUGACUGGAUGCAUUAUUUCCUGUACAGUUUGAGUUUUAGAUUUAUCUUGUGUAAUAGUUAGGAUUGUAUGAAUGUUUGGAAUUCAACGAAUGUAUGUGUACGUUCCACGCUUGGAAUUAGUAUUUGCUUCGUUAUGGUAUGCAAAUUUGUGGAGUAUGUGAUGUAAUAUUUGAGAUGUUUUGUUGAAUUUAUUUGAGAACUGUCACUACAAGAAAAAAGGUCAUUAGUGACAAAUUUCCAGUGAUGGCAUAAAGUCGUCACAAAAUGAGUUGUUUAGUCACGACAUUUAAGGUUGUCACAAUUGAUACAAAUCAGCUAAGUCUUCAGUGACAACCCUUAAUUGUCGUCACAAAAACAACUUUGCGCCAUGGGACGAAAAACACGAGUUUUACGAUAGUAACACUUGAUAAAAGUUGCAGUGAUUCUACCUCUUUUUUGACAACUUUCAUUGUUGUCACUUUUUUAUUUACUGACGACCGAUUUUCGUCAGUAAAACUAUAGCGUAGUAGUGACAACAUAGUAUCGUCACUAACUUGAACAUCUCCAAUGUAAUUAUUCAAUUGUGAGCCUUAAUAUUAAUUUAAUUUUUUUUAAAAUUUGGUGAUUUAUUAAAUAUUUAUAGUUACUCAAAUUAUAAUAGGUUUUAACUGAAAAAAGUAAUGAAGGUUUCUAGUUAGAAUAACUAUAUAAACUAUUACAACUUGAAAAGAUACAUUUACCAGUUAUUUGAAUUUAGCAAAAUUUUCCAUCCAUUAUAAUUUUUUAAUAAUAUUUUAUGAAUAGUGAUUAGAAAUAUAUUAAUAAAUUUAAAAUAAAAAAUUGAGCUAAAAACUGAUUGGAUUGUCUUGAUUGACUAGUACCAAAAUUUGUUCAAACUAGAAAUGGAAAAAAAAAAAGUGGCUCAGGUACUAUACACCAAGAAAAGGAACCGCUGUUGUCGCGCCCAUUUUUUUUUUUUGAUAAAAUAAAUAAAUGGUUUAAAAAAAUGUAUUUUUUGAUUCAAUUUGUGGUUGGAAAAUGAAUUUUGAUUUAAAAGAAAAGUGGGCCUCAAUGGGGUUUUGAGAAUGCGACGAUUUGACCCAAAAUUAUAGUUUAAAAAGGGUUUUUUGAAAUAAAAAUCGGAGUCGCCACUUGGUAAUGAGUUAAGGUGUACCAAGUCACCUAAAAAUGAAUUUUUAAAGAAAAAUAGGAAAAGUAGUAAGAAACCCCUUUUAAACGACUCUUAGUCCACGUAAACCAAAGAAAAAGGUUCGGGAGUCACAUUUGACGAAGGGGAAGGCAAGGAUAAAAAUCCAAGGCACCCCUUCGACCUAGCCAAGGCUAGUUGCAUGAUUUAAUCAAAGAUUUUCUUGUUUUAACCAAAGAAUUUAUUACAUUUGGAUGCACUACAUGAAUGCAAACCCUAAACCUAGGGUAUUGAGGGAAAUUUCUCUUCAAAGGUUAAGUGGUGCCAAUCACAUUAAUUGUGAAGCCCAAUAACGAUCCUUUGAAGAAGUCACGAAUAAGGCAAGUGGGAUGCAAAGGAAUGGAAUGCAUGUAUGCAAUGUGAAGGCAUGAGUUUGAAAAAAUAAUAAAAGGCAAUAAUGUGUAAAUGAAAAUGUGCACGUGAGUGGGCAAGGUACGGUAUGUGAAAUGAUAAUAUGAAGUGCAUGUGUGCAAGUGAUAAUAAAAGUGUUCGUGUGCAAGUGAAGAAACAUAAAGGUGCAUGUGUGCAAAAUGGGAGGAAAAAUGAAAGUGUGAUGAGGGUAUAAAAUGGUAGAGUGGAUUUAAAAAUGCAUGAGCCUAGGGAAUUCAUGCAUAUUGGGUACGGGGAGACCUAAAUCGUGACUCAAUUUGCUCUUUAUAGAGGGAAUACAAGCGUGCUAAGGCUUAGAAAAAGCCACACUCGUCUAUAUCCCAUAUUUAAGGGGACUCUCAAGCAAAUGAACCCUAUAACUAGCAUGAAAUGCAAAAAUCCUAAAAUGGAGGGAAAAGGGGUUCGAGGGGCAUACAAGAUGAUAAAACUAAAAAGAAUGCAUGACAUGUAAUGAACAUGCAAACAUGUACUAACGAGGGGAAAUCCCUAAAGGUCUAGCGUUGGACUAGCCCAUUCUAUGAAUUCCGACUAGCGUUGGACUAGCGGAAACGUACAUUCAUCCAUCACAUUCAUUCAGGCCUAUGGAAAGCAAAUAGACAUGUCGAAUACUUGUAAACACAUAACACAUAACACUUAGUAUGCUUGACUAGAUGCAAAGGCCUAAUAAAGCAAUUAACACAUAGCAAUUAAACUAAUGAACCUAUUACAUUUGCUAGUUAGGCACACGUCUUCAAUAGGUCUUCAUCGAAUGCUCCUCCAAAUCCUAUCUAUUACAAGCCAAGAGGUGUACACAUACCCCAUAAAAGAAUAACUUAAUUAAAAGCAAAAAUAAAAUGAAAUAAAUGAAAGAGAUUAAGGAAAAGUAAGGGAAGCAAAUAGACAUGCAAUUUUCACGUAGCACGUUGGAUCACAUAAGAGAGACAAAAAGGGAUAAAAGAAAUUAUACCUCCCUUGAGUUGGAGCUCUAAUGGGGUGAAGUCCCUUAUUUAUCCUCCAAAAUAAAAGAAAUGGUCAAGGUGCCAAUUUAUUUGGCAAAUAAUCACAAAGGAUAAAAAAUAAACAUGAAUUUGAAUCAAUUAAAUCAUGUCAACAACCCACAUUUAAGAAGUCAAAAGAAGAAAGGACUUGAUUGCAAAAAUUAAUAAAGCCUUGGGGUCAAAAUUAAAGAAAAAUAAAGUUUAGGGGCCUAUUUGCAAUUAAAUUAAGGACCGAAUUGAAAGAGGUUGAAAAAAUCCAGGGCCACAGCAAUUAAGGAGAAAUUCAGGGACUGAUUUGCAAAAACGUUUUCUGGUUUCCUAAUGGACCAAAACAUUGGGCCAUUUCCUUUAUUUGUUUGGGCCAAAAGCUUCCCAGCCAAUGGAAAUCCAGAACAAAAAAAGAAUGGGCCAUUUUAUUUGUUCGUUUGGGCCAAAACCUUCCUGGCCCAACCGAUAAUUCUAAGAGGAAAGCAGGCCAGCCUAUCUUUAAGCCCAGACAAAGUGCAACUAGAACAGAUGGGCUUCACCUCUCAAGCCCAAACCAGAAACCCAAACAAAACAAAUUAAAUCCAUACUUACAAACCCAAUCAGAUAUGUUGGGCUCCAUCUUCCUAAGCCUAAGUCAAAACAUCAACAUAAUAAACUAAAUCACUUCCUUAAGCCCAAACAAAAUAACCUCUCAACCCAAAUUACCUUUUCACAGGUACCCAACAUGAUAAAAUCAACAAAAAUUACUAAGCUUUGAUUAUGCAUUAAAUCACAGCAUUAAUCUAUCCAGAAAUCACAUAAAAUAUGCAAACAGAGGAUUAAGCUUAAGAGGGCAAAAUUAGUUCAAUUUUCCAGAUUUUUGGGCCAUACCAGAAUAAGGAGGGAAUAUCAAAGGGUUCAAACACAACAAAAUAGGGACUUAAUUGGAGGAAUCAUGAAGAUUUUGGGGUCGAAAUUAAAGAAAAAAAACAUUCCGGGGUCAAUUUACAAGUUCCAGAUUUUUUUUCUUUUGCAAACCAAUGGUUCGCUGAAUCUAUCCUCUUCAAUUGUGACUGAAGGUAAGCUUCUGCAACCUCAGAUUCGGCCAUUUUGCUCUAACUAUCAACUAUCAUGUUUUAACAAGCAUUAAACUGGCCGGAUGUUAUGCAAAAAACAGAAAUCAAUUCAUUCUUGGAACUGGAGUUUCGGUUGGCCAUUUCAACGAGCAGAUUAGGAGCAUUAAAAGUUUCAUCAAUUUUUUGCUGGAAUUGAAGUUAAUCAAUCUCCAAAAUUGUUCAACAAUCAAGAAAUUUCAGCCCAAUCAUCAGUAAAACGUGCAUAAUCGCGAGAUUUGCAAAUAAAGCUUAGGGCGGCUAAGAACGAACGAAUUCAGAAAAAUAAGCAACCAGAGUUUCAAGAAUCCGAAAACUGAAUUCAGAUAAUUAAGGAAGAAACGGAAAACUUACAGUGCUAAUCCCACGUGAGCUUCAAUGAUGGUAGACUCCUUGCGAGUGCGGCAGUUCGAUGGCGGGACAGUGCCGGUACCAAUGGCUUCAACGAUUGCUGGCUCCGCUCGCUCCAGCCGUCGAACUUGUGGCCCAGCUCCCGUGUCGAUUGGAAGAUCCUGGCAGCACGAGCGGCAGGCGUGCAGAUUUUUCUGCCGUGCCCCUCCAUCUUGGUGUCGCGGUCCAUGGAGGAGAGUAGCCCGACCCGGAUGUUCUGUUCCGGGUUAAGAUGUUAUACGGAAUCCACGCUGCCUCUGAGGUUUCGUUAUGGGAAUUAGGGAGAGGGACAGUGAAUCGGGCGCAAGGAGGAGAUGAUACGGUGAGGCCGAAAAAGGGUGGCUGAGGUGCGCUGGACGGCUACUGAUUUGGAGACCAGGCCUUCCUUCCCUUGUUUCUUUGCUGCCCCUUUUUCAACCUUGCCGAAGCAAUUUUCUUCCUCCUCCCUUGGCCAAGCUCUCUGUUUCCUAGCUCUGUCCGCCGCCCCUUAUUCUCUCAAAACCCUCCAGCCCAAGACUUUCUCUCUCUCCCCAGCCAAAUGAAGCUCCCUUGUUUUUUCUUUGUUUUCUGAUUUUUUUCCCGUCACCUCUGUUCCUUAGCCGAAGACUUUUUCUCUGUUUCUUCUUUAGCUUCUUCCUAGCCCUCCUCCUAUUUUUGCUCUUCAUCUGCAAAACCCCCUCAGCCCCCUUUCUCCCUCUGCCUUUUUCUUCUUCGCCGAAGCUUUUCUAUUUUCUUGCUCUCAGUUCUGACUCUCAGCCGCCAAGCUUCCCCCGUUUUCCAGUUUUCUUUUUUCCUUUUUUGUUGUCCGGCCAAGCUUCUCCUCAGACGAAACCCUUUUCUGUUUUUUUUUUUUUUUUUUAGCCCUCACAAAAUUCUACUUUGACCCCAAAAAUUUCUUAACUUCCCAAAUGUCCCUAACACCUCACCCCUUAGGUGCUUAGUUGUCUAAAAAUAGAAAAGACACUUGUCCAAGUGCAUGUAGUCCCACUUGUCAUUUUCACCUUUUUUUCUUUUUCCUUUUCUCUUUUUCUUUUGUUUUUUUCCUGAAAUUUAAUGUGAAGCCAAAAAUAGCUAGAACAAAAACAAAAUAAAUAACAAUAAUAAAAAUAAAAUAAUAAAAUAAUAAUAAAUAAUAAUAAUAAAUGAAAACUCUAAAAUUGAAACAAAUAAAGUUAAGAUUAAAUUAAUUAAACAAAUAAAGUUAAAAAAUCAAAAAUUUGGUGUCUACAGUUUGCCCCUCUUUGUCUGAGUUUUGAAAAAAUUUGAGACAAAGAAGUAGACACCAAAUACUUACCUGUGUUAUUUGGCGGUGAAAACGUCUCAAACAAAUGGACGCUUUAGAAACGGGGACUGACUCCUUUAUCAAACUGUGAAAUGGGACUGACCCAGACAAGAAAAUUAAACAGAAAAUUUAAUCGGGACUGACCCGAGACAGGAAAUUUAAAAUCGGGACUGACCCGAGACAGGAAUUUUAAAACGAGACUGGCCCGAACAUGAAUUUAAAACGGGACUGGCCCGAACAGGAAUUUAAAACGGGACUGACCCGGAAAGGAAUUUAAACGGGACUGACCCGAACAGAAUUUAAACGGGACUGACCCGAACAGGAAUUUAAACGGGACUGACCCGAACAGAAUAUUUAAAACGGGACUGACCCGAACAGGAAUUUAAACGGGACUGACCCGAACAGAAAUUUAAAACGGGAUAGACCCACGCGAUAGACCCGAAACGAAAUGUAAAUGGGAUAGACCCAAACAGAAAUGUAAAUGGGAUGAAUUGAAGUGAGAUGGAGUAUUGGUGGGGUUGACCCAUGUUUAUUGGUGAUGCAAAUGAAAGAAGAGAAAUGAAGUGUUAAUGGGACUGAUCCACGUUCCAGUGGCUGUGAAAAUGAAAUGUUCACUGGCGGACUGACCCACGUUCCAAUGGCUAUGAUCAUGAAAUGCUCACUGGCGGGACAAACCUCAGCUCCAGUGGCUAUGAAAAUGAAAAGCUCACUGGUUGGACAAACCACACGCUCCAGUGGCUAUGAAAAUGAAUGCUCAUUGGCGGGACAAACCUCAGCUCCAGUGGCUAUGAAAAUGAAAAGCUCACUGGCGGGACAAACCUCAGCUCCAGUGGCUAUGAUCAUGAAAUGCUCACUGGCGGGACAAACCCAACUCCAAUAGCGAUGAAAAUAAAAUGCUUACUGGCGGGACAAACCCAGCUCCAAUAGCGAUAAAAUGCUUUUGACAAUUGGACAGUGGGACAAAACCCGAGCCUGCCGAGGUCGGAGGGAUAAAACCCAUGCCCUAAUGAAAAUAAAAGCGGUCAGUGGGAUAAAACCCGAGCCUGCGAGGUCGGAGGGAUAAAACCCGUGCCCUAACGAAAAUAAAAGCGGUCAGUGGGAUAAAACCCGAGCCUGCCGAGGUCGGAGGGAUAAAACCCGUGCCCCAACGAAAAUAAAAGCGGUCAGUGGGAUAGAACCCGAGACUGCCGAGGUCGGAGGGAUAAAACCCGUGCCCAACGAAAAUAAAAGCGGUCAGUGGGAUAAAACCCGAGCCUGCCGAAGUCGGAGGGAUAAAAUCCAUGCCCUAUCGGAAAUAAAAGCGGUCAGUGGAAUAGAACCCGAGCCUGCCGAGGUCGGAGGGAUAAAACCCAUGCCCAACGAAAAUAAAAGCGGUCAGUGGGAUAGAACCCGAGCCUGCCGAGGUCGGAGGGAUAAAACCCGUGCCCAACGAAAAUAAAAGCGGUUAGUGGGAUAAAACCCGAGCCUGCCGAAGUCGGAGGGAUAAAACCCGUGCCCAACGAAAGUAAAAGCGGUCAGUGGGAUAAAACCCAAACCUGCCCAAUGGGAAGUCGGCGGCACGAAGUCCAGGCCCAACGUGAUCUUAUGAAGUUGACGGCACUUGGGCGAUCUUGUGAAGUUGGCGGCACGAAGUCCAGGCCCAACGUGAUUUUGUGAAGUUGGCGGCACAAAAUCCAGGCCCAACUUGAUCUUUGGAAUGUUGGCGGCACGAAACUCAGGCCCAACUUGUUUUUUGGAAUGUUAGCGACCCGAAACUUAGGCCCAACUUGAUUUUUGGAAUGUUGGCGGCACAAAAUCCAGGCCCAACGUGAUCUUUGGAAUGUUGGCGGCACAAAGCUCAGGCCCAACUUGAUGUUUGAGAUGUUGGCGGCACGAAAUCCAAGACCAACUUGAUGUUUAUGAUGUCAAGAGAAGGGGGGAACAGAAUGAUGCGCGGCGUGCAUUGAAGUUUCGCCCAUAAGAAAUCAAAUUUGAUUUUUCAAGAAACAAGAAUUUGAACUUGAUUUUUGACUUUUGAACUUUGAAUUUUUCUGAUUUUUUUUUUGAGAGAAUUUUUCAAAAAUAAUUUGCCCCAAGUGUAGGGCCCUUUUCCCUUCUUUCUUCUCUUUCUUCGGCAUCGGCUUCCCACAUCACCAGAUGCUUUUUCGUCAUUUUGAACCAUGAAUACCUGUACAAGGGGUUCAUCAAAGUAUGACAUGCAUUCAAAUUUCUUAUUUGGAAAGAACAGCGUGAUUGGUUUGACAUCCUCAAAUGUAUUACAAAAAUUUUGCCCCAGUGUGGGCUAUUUUGCAAAAUCUCUCACAUGAAAAUUUGCCCCAGUGUAGGCCUAUUUAAUUGCAAAAAAAUUUGUUUGAAUAACCCUCCAUUUAUUUGAACAAAGUAAACAAUUGCUUUUCCUAACAUAUCAUGUGAAGAAAUUUGAAUGUCCUGCUUAAACUCAUAUAGCACAUUUCAUGAUGAAUUUCUCAAAAUAAUGCCAAAUUACGAAAGAUUUCUUCCCCACUUUAGCAUCAAUGCUUUGGGUGAUGGGUCACCAUUUCUGGUUGGUUCAUCUUUCAGGACCAAUCAAGUGACUUUAUUUUUGAAAUGGCUAUGGAAAUGGGAGAUCAGAAUUUGUCUGGUUCUUGUGCCCAAAAUUGUAAUGCAUUCAACAUCACAUCUUAGUGAAAGCAAAUAGUUUGUCCAUUCUUAUUUUCAAGAAAACUUAGUCAACAUACAAGCUUUCUAGGCUUGUAACGUAUGGACAGAAGUGAUAGCUAAACAUGUGGAAACGGGUUAUACCCUUAUGAUCACAAAUGAUUUGAUGAAUUUCUUAUGAGCAUGAUCCUCACUUUGAAUUGUCAUGAAGGAAUAAGUCAACGAUGGACUUUAUUAGCUUGUAAUGUGGCUUGAAAAUGAUAGUUAAAGAAUAAGAUUUUCAAGGAUAUUGCACCAUAGAUCGCCUUUUUCCAAAAUUGUCCCUAUUUUGAACUCAAAAGAUUUCAGACUUUGUUUGGAUUUUCUCAUCAUUCCCAAAGACUUCAACGUCGAACUUUUCUGCAUUUACUUUUCUCGCUUUACUUUUUGCCUCUUUUUCCUUUCCCUCGAUUUGGUGGGUUUUCACAUGGUGAGUAGCGUCAACCUCAUACCCAAGCAAUUCAGAAAUACAGCUAAAAUUUUUCGGCAUCAGAAAUUUUCUUGACAGGGCCAUUGCAAAGAACAGAAGUCAGGACUUUCGGCUUUUGUAAUGGGGUCUGGUGGGGUGUCUAGAAAAUUUAAGGCUUGAAGGCAGAUUUCAAAGGUGGUUUGGAGAAUCUGAGAUCGCAUUGUUGUGCCAACCCUAUUUUAGGGUUAAAUCAGAAUUUGCCAGAGCUUGUGCUCAAUUGAGGUUUUUUCUCUUUCAUUUUCUUUCGAUUCUUUUGGCCUUUUGCCAUUUUUUUUUUUUGAACUUUCACAAAAUUUGCCCCAAUUUAUUUUUGAACUGAGGUUCUCUUUUCUUCUUUUGUCCUUUGAUUUUGUUACAUUAUCGCUUUUCACUUCUUGAAACUUUUUCCAACUCAAACUUGCCCCAGUGUGGGGUUUGCGAUUCUCAGGGGUUGUCAAACGAAAUAUUUUAUUCUGAAAGCUCAAAAGGGACAACUAGGGAUAGAAUGCUUGAUUGGAAAAGAAGAGGGCCUGACUUUUAAUCCGUUCCUUACAAUAACUCUGAAAGGAAACUUUCGUUAAUGCGAAAUUUUUGCAUGUAUCUGAAUUAAUUGACUGAGGAAGACUCUCCAUAAGGGGUUCGUCGGGCAAAACCCUUCCUUUUUCUUUUUUCAAAAUUGAAGCCCAGAUAGAUUCAAAUUUUUCCAAUUUGUGAUUCCCUCUUUUCUUUUAAUCUUUAGCAUUUUUUUUUUUUGGAAAAAUCUCCAAUCUCCUUCCCCAAUGUGGGGUGCGAUCAUAAGUGCUUUGAAAAGAACCACCCAUUUUGGCUCAAAUAAGGAUGCAAGGGAUAAAUGAUGUUUAGAUUGUAGAAACGAUGGCCAAAGUAUCAUUCUUACACCUAAUGACAACCAAAGUAACGAAAUGGUCAUUGAAAAUCCAUUUCCCUUUUUGAUAUUUGGAAAUUUUCCAACGAAGGGUAGUGAUUAUUGUGAGAACCCGUAAAACCCUAAUUAUUUUCCUAGGGUUUAUUACCCCUUAAUUGCAUAUAUUUUUGCAUUUUCGGGUUUAGAAAUAUUUUCUGGUAGAUUUUAUGCGUAAUUAUAGUUUUAAGAUGAUUUUUCUAGUAUUGGAGAGUUUUUAGAAAAUUAAGAGUAAAUAGUGGACGUGGGACCCACUAGUGCGAAAAGUUCAAAAAAAUUCGGCCAACUAGAUUAAGUUUUGGAUACUGGAAUUAUUUUAUCGGGUGUUAAGAGAUAAGUAGAGGAUGUUAUUUGGAUUGGUAUGAGGGGGAAACAAAGAGAUAGAGAUUCAUUUAUGAAGUGACAAGUGUCACCAUUUGAUUGGUUGGAUACUAUUCACUUUUUGACUUUUUUUUUUACCAAGUGAUUAAAUAUCUUAAAAUUUCACAAAAAUCACCAUUUCUUCUCUCUCUCAUGGCCGAACCUCUUGCAAGGAAAAGGAAGAAAACUUCUCCAAGUUUCAAGCUUCAAACUAGCUCAAAUCUUCCAAGAAAAUUACUUAAACUAGUUUCUACUCCAUAAAUUCCCUCUAGUUGGUGCUAGUAAGUGAUUUGGUGAGAUUUUUUGGAGAAGCUAAGGUGUCCUACAACUCUCCCUCUCUUGUUUACUAGGUAAGUAGUGGUUCAACUUCCUCAUAUACUUCAUGAAGCUUAAGUUAUGCUUAGUAGUGGCUAAAGUGUUUAGAUUUGUGAUUUAUUUCUUGUUCUUGGAGAAAUUGAUGGAGUUUUCAAUUUUUUGGGAUUAUUGCUGUUUUCAUAUGAUCAUGAUGGUGUGAUGACUUAUGAUGAUUGGAAAUAAGGGGUAAUGGCUCUAGUAGGUGCAUAUGAUAGAAAAUUGCAAUCAAUUUUGGAUUUGGAAGAAUUUCUGGAAAAUUAGGGUUCUUGGUUGAACAUUCUGUCCGAAAUUUUUGGUCAUAGAUAGAGGCCGAAUUGGACUUUGCUCAAAACAUUAAAGUUGUAGGUAUUGAUGAGUUUGAAGUGCCUGCAAAAUUUCAGGGCAUUUGGAGUAGUGUAGAGUGAGAUAUGUCGAUUUUACUGUUGCUGUUCUGGGUUGAUCAGAAUGCGAAAACUGCACUGGUAAUUGGCCAUUUUGACUGGAAUUGCUUUGGAUUUGGAUGUUAGUGUCUUCUGAUGAAAUGUAGCUGGAUGUCUUAGCUUCCAUAUGCCUUUGGAAUCAAUGCAUUUGGACCUGUACAGACCGAGUUAUACCAAUUACAGCAUAUUGGGAUUUGUGAACCUGUUUUAGUGGUUCUGGUUUGGUAUUUUUGGCAUAUUUGACCUAGUUGUGCUAGGAUUUGGAUUGAGUGGCCUUCUAUAUUGUUGUAGCCCUGUUUCAUAGCUUCGAAACGGUGGGUCUUACACCCCCAUCCGAUAAUCAUAGUGAAAUUGACACCAUUACCGCAAAAUGACGUCAAAACUGUAUUUUUCCGGGCCAAUGCUAGUUACAUUUCCGAAAUUUCUGGUUUCCUCUAUUGUUUGUAAAUGUUUAUGGAACCUUAUUGGGUCAUGUUUGGCCUUGGUUUAUGACUCGUUAUCGAGUCUCAUUGUAUUUGUUGCAUGUUUUUAGGGCGUGACGGUGGUGCACAACGUUCUUUUGACUAAAGUGUUUGAAACCACAUUGUGCUAGCUUGGUGAGUGUACUACUCACUUAUGUGCUAUUACAUGGCUUUGAUCUUGGUACUUGAGAUGUUGAAUGUUGAUUGAUCCAAGUGAGAGUGUACUUUAUCACUUUUACUUAUUGUUUCGCAUGUUAUUGGAAAGUUAUAUGAAAUGUUAUAUGAAAUGAAAUACCUGACUUCAAAUAUUAUCCAUGAGCUCAACCCAUUGGUUAUUGAUUGAAUCGAGCCGGCGAGGGCUUGGUCGUGCCAAUUAAUGUGCCUUGGGGCAACAUCAUAGGGAAUCUUGUAGUAUGAGAGACUCUUGAUUCCGGUUUACUCGAGUAAUACCACAAUGCAUGCGUUUGGAUUUCGGGCCCGGUUGAGGAAUGUUAGGAGGAAGGGAAUGGAAGUUAAGAGGAGUCUACGGUUGGUUACCUUUCAGACAUUGACGGAGAGUCAAUGAGACCUGAUCAAGAAUUCAAACGAGGAAAAAGGGCUCUUGAGAGCCACCCGUAUCCUUUAUCCUCAUUAUUAAUGUGUGGCUUUAUUUAUUUUGGUAAAUUGGACUGUUAAACUUGAUGUAUUCAUGAACUUGGUUGCUUGAGUUGUAUUCUCACUGGGCAAUUAGCUCACCCGUUCCUUUUGUUUUCCUUACAGGAAUAUGACUCUUUUGGAAUGAAUUUUGAUAAAUGGUUGCCGAAUGAACUAGAUGAAUGACUCUUUUGUAUUGUAUAUAAAAUGGGACCCUAAAUGUAUCAUUAGGGCCGUUUUCACUUUUGUUUUGGCAAACCAUAUAUGUAGUGACUUUUGUAUCACUUUUAAAUGUCAUUUUUGGUUUGUAAAGGCUAAAUGUUAUGUGGUAUAUGUAAUUCGAUGUUUGGUUGGGUUCGGACGAGUCGGUUACUAUUCAUGGCCGACUCCGGAUUUCAUUUUCUUUUAUUUUGGGUUAUUUUGCCUUUUGCCUUAUUUGCGCUCGUUAUAAGUUCCGGAACGUGAAAGAUCGCUCUAUACUGCACCGUUAGUCCUGGCGAGAGAUGGGCAGGCAGUCCGCUAACCCCUUUGGUUCGCCUUAGGGGAAAGUGGGGCUGUCACAAUUAUUAGGGCUCUUAUUUGAAACGAAAUUACUCUUUCAAAAGCUCAAAUGGGAGAACAAAUGAUAAAAUCUGUAUAGGUAGAGAAACGAACACUUGAAGUAUCAUUCCAAAUUUUCAAAACAAAUAAGAAUAAUGCAUCUUUUUGCUUUCACUGAGAUGUGGACUGAAUCUAAUUAGACACAGUGGACACUUUUCACGCGAAGAUUGCCCCAAUUUGCAAAUUAUCAAUCAAUGUGACUGAUUUUAUUUUGGGGUUGAAUGAAAUGGGCAAACUAUGAAUUGUACAGUGAAUUGUACAGUGAAGGAGAAAAUGUAUCUCAUGAGGCCUUUGGAGUGACCAUUCACCUUUUUCUGAGCACUCUUAUUGUAUAGCUCGGAUCACCAACCUAGUGUACAUGAGGAUUUUAGAGAGUAUACACUUGUGAAAUUCUGACUAUAGGUUGAAAAAAUCUCAAUUUGGUCUUAUUUCUCAAAAUUCAUCAUGAAAUCUCCAAUGAAUAAGAAUAAAGAAUGAAAGGUACAUAAAUAUACCCAAAACAAUGAUUGUCCAAAAAUUUUUAUUGCUGAAAAAGUUUGAAACAAAAAUUCUCGUUCAAUUAUGAUACAAAUGAGAAGAGAGAAACUUGUAAAGAGCUCCACAUAUACACUUUUUGUUUCCUUUUCUUUUUGGAACAAAAUGUAUUAACAAAUCAAAUGUACAAAAUUUUCCUUUGGAAAACAAUUAUAACAUCUCUCAGAGGCUUUAACGUAGAGCUUCCAGAUAAAUCAUUUAUGUUUUCAUUGUAGGAUCUGCCCAAGAAUCAAAUAACACUUGCAGUUUUGACACUUGCAGGAUCGGAAGUGCCAUCAGAUAUAGAAAAAUAUUUCCCUUUUAUUGAAGUGUUUUUAUGAAUGCAAGGGAGGGGGAAAAACAAAAGAAAAAUACCCUGAAUUAGUAAGAAAGAAUAUAAAAUCGGUAUGCAUGUCUAUGGGGGGACCCUUUUGUGCAAGGGUAGGCCUAGCAUGAAAAUGCAAUCCUCUGAGGUAGGCACUAUACCAUACCUGAUGGAUCCGAUAAACUCAUCGAGUGAAAAAUAAUUUUGAAAAAUUUGGCCAAUUGGAUUGACGAGAGACACUUGUCAAAUGAGGUCAACAUCCGAAUGGAUUGAUCAUUUGAUUGAUACAAGAAUUUGCAAAAACGCAUGGGUUUUGACCUUGACGAACUUUCCUAUCGAAGAGAUUGAAAUUCGUUUUGACAACUUUUCUCAGUGAAGCACGGGUCAAAACUCCAACUGAUCAAAUGGCUGGAUGCAAUGGAUGUUUUCUCAAAAUCACUAGGUUUUCCAUUUUGAAAUUGACAUUGAAAUCCUAAUUGGUCAAGAUGAAAUUGACAAUUUAUUAAAAAUCGCCGGAUGACCCUAAAAAAGGGUAAAUGUGGUCAAAUGACCCUAAAAAGGGUAAAUUGUCAAAUGAAUUGACGAUUUAUUCAAAAUCGAUCGGCGAUGACCCUAAAAAGGGUAAAUUGGUCAAAUGAAUUGACGAUUUAUUCAAAAUCGACCGGAUGACCCUAAAAAGGGUAAAUUGGUCAAAUGACCCUAAAAAGGGUAAAUUGGUCAAAUGAAUUGACGAUUUAUUCAAAAUCGACUGGAUGACCCUAAAAAGGGUAAAUUGGUCAAAUGAUGGUUUAUUCAAAAUUGAUUAUGAAUUGACAAAAUGGAUCGAUUGAAUCGGCCGGCCAUUGGUGGUUUCAGAAAAUUAGUCUAUGAGCCUUCAAAAAUCACGAUUUGGCCUCAAUUUAUUCAUCGUCUCAACAAGAGGAAUCAUUUGUGAAUUUCUUCAAAUUAAUGUCCUUUGCGCAAGGGAUUUUUACCAAUUUUGAUAAAAUGGCCAAAAAGUGAUUAUUAGAUGCUCAUAUUCCAAAGAUCACUCUAUGAAAAUGAUCGGAUCCUACCUUACCUUGUGCACUACCCCUUUGGAUGGUACAAAAUGUAAACGUGCAAGUCUCUUUGGAUUAAGUAUCCGAGACAUAAGGUGGUUUAUUCCUGACACGAGAUCCCCUAAAUGGCAUUCCCUUUCUAGGGUUGAUGCAUGAUGCCAUUUAUUAAAGCAAGAAAAUAUGCAAUUCGAAACGAAACGUGACCUAAGGAACCCUUUAUAUGCCAAGGUAGGCCUAAAAUGGUAUGACAUUAUGAAUUAUGAACAAAAUGCAUCACAAUUUUCAAACGUGCGAUAGCCUAUUUACAAGGGUAGGUCCUAAAAGAGGAUCAUGCCAGACCUCUUAUUUCCUAACAUUUGUGAAUGCAAAAGAUAAGAAACAAGGAAACGUUAGUUCAACACAUAAUCACAUAACAUGUUGGACAAUUAGAUGAUACAAAAGCAACAAAGAAAUAAGGAAAGAGGGUGGGAUCCCUCCCCUCGUGCAUGGUGUCCCUAAUAGGGUAAGGUUGACUCUACCCUAGGCAAUUCUAAAAUGGAUGCGUGAGGUUGGGGUUCACUAAUGCAUCUAGACUCGACAAGCUCAGGUCCCCAAACCUUCAGACUUGGAAACCAAGGGUCAUCACUCCAAGGUUCCUUGUCGGUGGCUCGAGCGAUUCCCCAGACGUUGCUACGCACACGUCGUGUUACGGCUACUACCGUCUGGGCGAAUCUAAAAAAAAUCCUCAACCUUCGACUAAAAACUAAUAGGUCAUCAACCUACAGUUUAAAGCGGAAGAUCGAGUGACCCCUUGGAUCAUGCUACGCACACGUCGUGAUACGAUCACAUGUCCAAGUGGUCGCCUAAAAUCCUAAUAGGGUGGAGUGGCGUGACAAGCCACUAAAAGAAAAAUAAAUGAAGGGUGAAAAAAAAUUAAAGCGUAUGCUCGUAUGCUAGUGCUCGUUUGGAGGGGAGGGAUCAAGAACCAACGUGAGGCUCUAAGGUGACACACACCCCCCCAAAUGCAAUGCGACCGCGAGAUAAGUAAGUAAACAUCCAAUCAACCAAUCAUACAUUCGUGAGCGAGGGAGUAGUUGGACACGCGUGAAAUGCAAAAUCCUAAAAAAGAAAAAAAUGCAACCCUAAAACACCAAAAUGUGAUAUAUGAAAAGGUUAAAAGAAGAAAAAAGUUGAUUAAAUCAAAUUUGCUCGGACUCUCGAAUGUCCCCAGUGGAGUCGCCAACUGUCGCGCCCCAUUUUUUUUUUUUGAUAAAAUAAAUAAAUGGUUUAAAAAAUGUAUUUUUUGAUUCAAUUUGUGGUUGGAAAAUGAAUUUUGAUUUAAAAGAAAAGUGGGCCUCAAUGGGGUUUUGAGAAUGCGACGAUUUGACCCAAAAUUAUAGUUUUGAAAAGGGUUUUUUGAAAUAAAAAUCGGAGUCGCCACUUGGUAAUGAGUUAAGGUGUACCAAGUCACCUAAAAAUGAAUUUUUAAAGAAAAAUAGGAAAAAGUAGUAAGAAACCCUUUUAAACGACUCUUAGUCCACGUAAACCAAAGAAAAAGGUUCGGGAGUCACAUUUGACGAAGGGAAGGCAAGGAUAAAAAUCCAAGGCACCCCUUCGACCUAGCCAAGGCUAGUUGCAUGAUUUAAUCAAAGAUUUUCUUGUUUUAACCAAAGAAUUUAUUACAUUUGGAUGCACUACAUGAAUGCAAACCCUAAACCUAGGGUAUUGAGGGAAAUUUCUCUUCAAAGGUUAAGUGGUGCCAAUCACAUUAAUUGUGAAGCCCAAUAACGAUCCUUUGAGAAGUCACGAAUAAGGCAAGUGGGAUGCAAAGGAAUGGAAUGCAUGUAUGCAAUGUGAAGGCAUGAGUUUGAAAAAAUAAUAAAAGACAAUAAUGUGUAAAUGAAAAUGUGCACGUGAGUGGGCAAGGUACGGUAUGAAAUGAUAAUAUGAAGUGCAUGUGUGCAAGUGAUAAUAAAAGUGUUCGUGUGCAAGUGAAGAAACAUAAAGUGCAUGUGUGCAAAAUGGGAGGAAAAAUGAAAGUGUGAUGAGGGUAUAAAAUGGUAGAGUGGAUUUAAAAAUGCAUGAGCCUAGGGAAUUCAUGCAUAUUGGGUACGGGGAGACCUAAAUCGUGACUCAAUUUGCCCUUUUAUAGAGGGAAUACAAGCGUGCUAAGGCUUAGAAAAAGCCACACUCGUCUAUAUCCCAUAUUUAAGGGGACUCUCAAGCAAAUGAACCCUAUAACUAGCAUGAAAUGCAAAAAUCCUAAAAUGGAGGGAAAAGGGGUUCGAGGGGCAUGCAAAAUGAUAAAACUAAAAAGAAUGCAUGACAUGUAAUGAACAUGCAAACAUGUACUAACGAGGGAAAUCCCUAAGGGUCUAGCGUUGGACUAGCCCAUUCUAUGAAUUCCGACUAGCGUUGGACUAGUGGAAACGUACAUUCAUCCAUCACAUUCAUUCAGGCUAUGGAAAGCGAGUAGACAUGCCAAACACUUUAAACACAUAGCACAUAACAUUUAGCAUGCUCGACUAGAUGCAAGGCCCUAAUAAAGCAAUUAACACAUAGCAAUUAAGCUAAUGAACCUAUUACAUUUGCUAGCUAGGCACACGUCUUCAAUAGGUCUUCAUGAAUGCUCCUCCAAGCCCUAUCUAUUACAAGCCAAGAGGUGUACACAUACCCCAUAAAAGAAUAACUUAAUUAGAAGCAAAAAUAAACAUGAAUUUGAAUCAAUUAAAUCAUGUCAACAACCCACAUUUAAGAAGUCAAAAGAAGAAAGGACUUGAUUGCAAAAAUUAAUAAAGUCUUGGGGUUAAAAUUAGAAAAAUAAAGUUUAGGGGCCUAUUUACAAUUAAAUUAAGGACCGAAUUGAAAGAGGUUGAAAAAAUCCAGGGCCACAACAGUUAAGGAGAAAUUCAGGGACUGAUUUGCAAAAACGUUUUCUGGUUUCCUAAUGGACCAAAACAUUGGGCCAUUUCCUUUAUUUGUUUGGGCCAAAAGCUUCCCAGCCCAAUGGAAAUCCAGAACAAAAAAAGAAUGGGCCAUUUUAUUUGUUCGUUUGGCCAAAACCUUCCUGGCCCAACCGAUAAUUCUAAGAGGAAAGCAGGCCAGCCUAUCUUUAAGCCCAGACAAAGUGCAACUAGAACAGAUGGGCUUCACCUCUCAAGCCCAAACCAGAAACCCAAACAAAACAAAUUAAAUCCAUACUUACAAACCCAAUCAGAUAUGUUGGGCUCCAUCUUCCUAAGCCUAAGUCAAAACAUCAACAUAAUAAACUAAAUCACUUCCUUAAGCCCAAACAAAAUAACCUCUCAACCCAAAUUACCUUUUCAUAGGUACCCAACAUGAUAAAAUCACAAAAAUUACUAAGCUUUGAUUAUGCAUUAAAUCACAGCAUUAAUCUAUCCAGAAAUCACAUAAAAUAUGCAAACAGAGGAUUAAGCUUAAGAGGGCAAAAUUAGUUCAAUUUUCCAGAUUUUUGGGCCAUACCAGAAUAAGGAGGGAAUAUCAAAGGGUUCAAACACAACAAAAUAGGGACUUAAUUGGAGGAAUCAUGAAGAUUUUGGGGUCGAAAUUAAAGAAAAAAAAACAUUCCGGGUCAAUUUACAAGUCCAGAUUUUUUUUUCUUUUGCAAACCAAUGGUUCGCUGAAUCUAUCCUCUUCAAUUGUGACUGAAGGUAAGCUUCUGCAACCUCAGAUUCGGCAUUUUGCUCUAACUAUCAACUAUCAUGUUUUAACAAGCAUUAAACUGGCCGAUGUUAUGCAAAAACAGAAAUCAAUUCAUUCUUGGAACUGGAGUUUCGGUUGGCCAUUUCAACGAGCAGAUUAGGAGCAUUAAAAGUUUCUCAAUUUUUUGCUGGAAUUGAAGUUAUCAACUCCAAAAUUGUUCAACAAUCAAGAAAUUUCAGCCCAAUCAUCAGUAAAACGUGCAUAAUCGCGAGAUUUGCAAAUAAAGCUUAGGGCGGCUAAGAACGAACGAAUUCAGAAAAAUAAGCAACCAGAGUUUCAAGAAUCCGAAAACUGAAUUCAGAUAAUUAAGGAAGAAACGGAAAACUUACAGUGCUAAUCCCACGUGAGCUUCAAUGAUGGUAGACUCCUUGCGAGUGCGGCAGUUCGAUGCGGGGACAGUGCCGGUACCAAUGGCUUCAACGAUUGCUGGCUCCGCUCGCUCCAGCCGUCGAACUUGUGGCCCAGCUCCCGUGUCGAUUGGAAGAUCUGGCAGCACGAGCGGCAGGCGUGCAGAUUUUUCUGCCGUGCCCUCCACCUUGGUGUCGCGGUCCAUGGAGGAGAGUAGCCCGACCCGGAUGUUCUGUUCCGGGUUAAGAUGUUAUACGGAAUCCACGCUGCCUCUGAGGUUUCGUUAUGGGAAUUAGGGAGAGGGACAGUGAAUCGGGCGCAAGGAGGAGAUGAUACGGUGAGGCCGAAAAAGGGUGGCUGAGGUGCGCUGGACGGCUACUGAUUUGGAGACCAGGCCUUCCUUCCCUUGUUUCUUUGCUGCCCCUUUUUCAACCUUGCCGAAGCAAUUUUCUUCCUCCUCCCUUGGCCAAGCUCUCUGUUUCCUAGCUCUGUCCGCCGCCCCUUAUUCUCUCAAAACCCUCCAGCCCAAGACUUUCUCUCUCUCCCCAGCCAAAUGAAGCUCCCUUGUUUUUUCUUUGUUUUCUGAUUUUUUUCCCGUCACCUCUGUUCCUUAGCCGAAGACUUUUUCUCUGUUUCUUCUUUAGCUUCUUCCUAGCCCUCCUCCUAUUUUUGCUCUUCAUCUGCAAAACCCCUCAGCCCCCUUUCUCCCUCUGCCUUUUUCUUCUUCGCCCGAAGCUUUUCUAUUUUCUUGCUCUCAGUUCUGACUCUCAGCCGCCAAGCUUCCCCGUUUUCCAGUUUUCUUUUUUCCUUUUUUGUUGUCCGGCCAAGCUUCUCCUCAGACGAAACCCUUUUCUGUUUUUUUUUUUUUUUUUUUAGCCCUCACAAAAUUCUACUUUGACCCCCAAAAAUUUCUUAACUUCCCAAAUGUCCCUAACACCUCACCCCUUAGGUGCUUAGUUGUCUAAAACAUAGAAAAGACACUUGUCCAAGUGCAUGUAGUCCCACUUGUCAUUUUCACCUUUUUUUCUUUUUCCUUUUCUCUUUUUCUUUUGUUUUUUUCCUGAAAUUUAAUGUGAAGCCAAAAAUAGCUAGAACAAAAACAAAAUAAAUAACAAUAAUAAAAAUAAAAUAAUAAAAUAAUAAUAAAUAAUAAUAAUAAAUGAAAACUCUAAAAUUGAAACAAAUAAAGCUAAGAUUAAAUUAAUUAAACAAAUAAAGUUAAAAAAUAAAAAUUUGGUGUCUACAGCUGUUAAUCCCCCUCCCCAACACAAACAAAAACGUCUUCAGUACUCUUUACACUCUCAAUCCCUCGGUCAACUCCUUUAUUCUUAACCCCCUUUAUUCACUUUUUAAAACCUUAGCAGCAGUGGAGGCGGCAGCCACCGUCAUCAAAGAUGCAAAUCUUAGUGAAAACCCUGACAGGGAAGACCAUCACCCUUGAGGUGGAGUCUUUCGACACCAUCGGCAAUGUCAAGGCCAAAAUCUAGGACAAUGAGGGCAUUCCCCCAGACCAGCAGCAGUUCAUCUUCACCGACAAGCAGCUGGAGGAUGGCCGCACCCUAGCCAACUACAACAUCCUCAAGGAGUCCACCCUCCACCUCAUCUGCCGCCUCCCAUAGAAUAGAAAACAAAACACAGUUCUCCACCAAUUGUCUAACGAUUGGUUAUCCUUCUGCGAUGUUGAAGGGUAAAAGUUCGCUACCAACUCUCUACAACAAAGGGUAGGUUCUCUUAUGUACAUUUUCUCUCCCUAAUUUUCCCCCAAUUUUUAUUUGCCCUAAUUUUUUUGCCAAAAAUUUCUCCGCUGGAGCCUGUGCUUCAGACCAGCUUUGUAUAUGUUAGCCAUUCUUCCCGAACUCAUUUGCCAAAACCAAUGUUAUUUGGCUCUUAAGGUUUUCGAAGAAAUUCAGGAGUAUUUUUGUAGGCCUCAAAUAUCACUGUAUGCUGAAUUGGUCUACUUUUGGGAAGCAAUGGAUUCCUUGAAGAGGUUGAACUUCUUUUCAUUAAAUUGAAAAAGGAACCUUGUUUAGAGCCUGAUAUUAAUGAUUUUAAUGCAUUGCUAGAGAUUUUAGCAAAUUUCAACCUCAUUGGGCUAGCGGUUGAGUGCUUUUACCUGAUGAAAUCUAUAGGUUGUGACCUGGAUAUUGUCAUUCAAGAUAUUAAUCAAUGUUUUACAGACAAAUGAGGAAGCAAUUUUUUUAGCUUUUUAUGACUGGAAGCCCAGAAAUAUUUUGGUCAAUCUCUGAAUUUUGAGGGGGAGAAGGAUACUUAUUGAGCUCAAACUGACUUGGUUACGCUGGCAGGAUGCAAUCUGAUAGACCUCCCAUUGCAAGUCUUUAGCAUUUUCUACCCUGUUAGGAAAGUUCUUUCACUUUUUUUUAGCAGUUAGAAGCUAUUUAAAUAUUUGUAGCCAAAUUUUUCAGUGACUUUAAAAUCUUACUUAUGGAGACAAGUGCAAUGGUUAUGCUUUGCAGCUAAAAAAAUGAUUUAAUUGGUGAUGCAAUCAACAAAUUAUUUGUUUGAGUCAAAAGCUUAAAAGUUUGUUAUGUUAGUGGAUCUUCAAGAUUGGCUUGGGGAAACUGAAAAGAAGAAGAGAUGAAAUUAAAAUAUGUAAGACCCAAUUCAUGCUGAAGUAUCCAACUUUCACUUAUCAUACCAAACUAAGAAUCACUCUCCUUUGCCCAAUAUAUCAUUGCAACCGAUAUAAUGCUAUUGUUUUGAGUUAUGAUUAGUCUCUAUGAUUAGGUAGCUUAUGUUAUUUUGGUGUUAACCAUUACAAGUUUGGAGCAAAAUUAUGCUUAGUCUCUAUGGUUGGGUAGCUUAUGUCAUUUCAGUGUUAACCAUUACAGGUUUGGAGCAAAAUUAUGACUUCAUCAAUCAGAUUCCAUUUAGACAAAGACGCUCCGGUUUCCUCUAUUAGUUAUAAUUUGUUGAUUCUUUAUCAUUAGGUAAGAUAGGACAUCUGAAAUCAUGUUAUUUUAUUAAUCAUUUGCAAAAUUUCUAGGAUAGCAAAGUACUUGCUAACAAUAACUACUGAGGCCUCUGAUGUUCAUAGGCCUUCAUGACUAUCUCAACAUUUCUUUUUCUUCUUUUGUAAACUUUUGUUUAAAUACAUUAACACGUUUUAUGUGGCUAAAUUGCAGGUUUUUCAAGUUGUACUUUAGAACUAUUUUGGAAGGAGCAAGAUGAUUAUCUAUUUCUCAUGAGUUAAGUGCUCCACUUGGUAUCAAUUUGUAAUAAAAUUUCAUCAAGUUUAAUUUUUUGGGUCAAAAUUUAUUCUGUAAUUUGUGUGGCUAAAUUGCAAGUUUUUUAAGUUGUACUUUGGAGCUUGUUUUGGAAGAGCAGGGUGAUUAUCUAGUCGCAUGAAUUGGGUGCUCCACUUGGUAUCAUUCUUAAAUAAAGUUCAUCAUGUUUUAAUUUUUUUUGUUCAAAAUAUAGCCUAUAAUGGCUAAAAGUAUUAUUUUUGUGAUUAGAGAAGUGGAACAUGGUAAUUGGAACCAAAGAUAGGACUCAUUUUUUGGUUAGAGUUGACAUGCUAUUUAGAUGCAUUUAAACCAAAAUAGCGUGAAUUAAUGCCAUGCAAAAAUUAGUUAAUUUCUCCUAGAAUUGAUGGAUUUGUUAUUAUUUCUAGCAAUUGAGCUCUGGACAUAGGCUCAGGAUAUCUACUAGGAUAUUGUUGGUCUUUCAAUCAGGCUGUACUUCUCGUUUUUGGGUAUCUUUAAGCAUGUUUUUGAGGUUGUUCUAUGUGAGGGCCCGUACUUUUUUUAAUUGCACGUUUUCUGCAUUUUCUUUAUUAGAAAAUUUUUCUAGAUCAAUUUUAUGAGUAAAUAUAGUUUUUAAAUGAUUUUUCUAGUAUCGGUUAGUUUUUGAGAAAUUAAGAGCGUAUAUCGGACGUGGGACCCGCUAGUGCGGAAAAUUCGGAAAAAUUCGGCCAGUUAGGCUAAGUUUUGGAUACUGGGUUUAAUUUACCGGGUGUUAUGAGAUAUUUAGAGGUACUAAGUGGAUAGGUGUGAGAAAGACAAAAAAAAAAGUUAGGCAUGACAUUAAUGAGAGGGACAAGUGUCUUGAAACCAUUGGAUGGGGACUUUGACUAACUUUUCUUAACUUUACUAAACAUCCAUUUUGACCAAAUGUUUCUUCAUUUUUCACCUUGUUGGCCGAAAUUUUGAGGAGAGAAAAGAGAGGAAAUCCUUCAUCUUGUACUUCAAUCCCUUGCUUCAAUCUUGAUUUCCAACCAUUAAAAGUGAAGAUUACUCCAUCAAAGUUACUUAUUAAGGAGGAUUAAAGCUUCUAGUGGAGGGAUUUGUGAAAGAAAAACCCUAAGUUAUCAUCUUUCUUGAGGUGUCAAGGUACCUUGCUUACAAACUUCCUCUUUACUUCAAUUAAUUGGUUUUUAGUAGUGUUUUAGAUGUUGUUUUGUGAAAGAUUAGUACUUGAUUGCAUGAACUUCAGAUUAGGGUUUUAAGUUUCCUCAAUUCUGCCCGGUACUGUUACACCUAGUUAGAGGCCGAAUUGGCCUUAGCACAAAACAUGAAAGUUGUAGGGAAUGAUGUUUUCUAGUUGCCUGUAAAUGUUCAGCCCAAUCUGAGCUCGGUAUCCUGAGAUAAGAUGGAAAUACCCAGACUGGUCUAGGUAGGAGUUCAGCGAACAGGGUUGUCUUUUCACCCAAUCUGACCGUGACUUUUCACCAUGAUCCCUACUGAAUUAGAUUUUGGCCAAAACAUGAAAAUUGUAGCCAAUAGUAUAAACUAGCUCCAUACAAAAUUUCAGCUUGAUCCGACCACUGUAACAUGUGAAAUGACUGAAAUACCCUUGACUGUUCAUGAAACCUGUUUCGCGCCCAGAAUUCUGUCUUUGUGUAGUUUUCCAUUUUUUGAUCAUGAAAAUGCAUGAUUUGUGUGAGAACCCGUAUUUUUUUCCCUUAAUGUUUUCCUAGGGUUUUCCCCCUUUAAUUGCAUGUUUGCCGCAUUUUCUGGCGUAGGAAAAUUUUCUUGGUGGAUUUUAUGAGUAACUAUAGUUUUUAGAUGAUUUUUCUAGCAUUGGGUAGUUUUUGAAAAAUUACGGAUAUAUAUUGGACGUGGGACCCACUAGUGCGAAAAGUUCUGAAAAAUUCGGCCAUUUAGGUUAAAUUCCGGAUACUGGUGGAAAUUUAUCGGGUGUUAAGAGAUAAGUAGAGCAUGUGAAGUGAUUGAUGUGAGAGGAAAAAGAAAAGAUAGGAUUGCAUUAAUGGAGGUGACAAGUGUCACCAUUGUAUUGGAAGUGACUUAUGACUUAUUAUUCAUUUUUUUGACUUUUGACCAAUUGCUUAAAUAUCUCAAAAAUCACACAAAAUUCAUUCUUGUCUUCAACCUCUUGGCCGACUUUCUCUCUAGGAAAAGAAGGAAAAACUUCUCCAAUUUUCAAGCUUCCAACUAGCUCAAAUCCUCCAAAACAAUUGCUUAAAUUAGUUUCUACUCCAUAAAAUCCCUUCCUUUGGUGCUAGUAAGUGUUUUUGUGGAAGUGUUCAAGGAAGCUAAGGUGUUCUACAACUCCUUUUCUCUUGUUUACUAGGUAAGUGGUGCUUGAACUUCCUCCUACACCUAAUGAUGUUUAAUUUGUGCCUAGUGGUGGCUAAAGUGCUGAAAUUUGUGGGUUAUUUCUUGGUUUGAGAUGAAUUGGUGAAACUUUUAUUUUAUUGACGAAUUUUCUGGUUUAAUGUGAUCAUGAUGUUGUGGUUAUUUAUGAUGGUUGGUAAUGAGGGGUAAUGACUCUAGUAGGUGUAAAUGAUUGGUAAUUGCAACCAAUUUUGGGUUUGGAAGGAAUUUGAGGAAGUUAGGGUUUCAUAACCCCCUUUUCUGUCCGGUUUUGUAUCAUAUGGUUAUAGGCCGAAUUGGCCUUUGUUUAAAACAUGAAAGUUGUAGGUAUUGAUGUGUUUGAGGUGUCUGUAAAAUUUCAGGUCAUUUGGAGUAGUGUAGAGUGAGAUAUGUCGAUUUUACUGUUGCUGUUCUGGGUUGAUCAGAAUGUGCGAACUGCGCUUGUAAUCGUCUGUUUUGACUGGAAUUGCUUUGGAUUUGGAUGUUGGUGUCUUCUGAUGAAAUGUAUCUGGAUGUCUUGGAUACCGUAUGCCUUUGGAAUCAAAGCAUUUGGACCUGUAUAGACUAAGUUGGACUAAUUACAGCAUAGUGUGAUUUGUAAACCUGCAAUUACGGUUCUGGUUUGGUAUUCUGCAUUUUUGACCUAGUUGUGCUAGGCUUUGGACUGAGUGGCCUUCUACAUUGUUGUAGCCCUGUCUUUUAGCUUCGAGAUGGUGGGUCUUACACAUUCAUCCGAUGAGCGUAGCGCAUUUUGUGCCAUUACCGCAUAAGGAGGCCAAAACUAUUUUGUUGUUAGGGCUAAUAUAGUUACAUUUCCUGAUUUUCUGGUUUGCUAUCAUGCUUAUAUAUGCAUAUGGAACCCUAUUGGGGUCAUGUUUGGAAUUGGUUUAUGACUCGUUAUCGAGUCUCAUUGUACUUGUUUACAUGUUUUAGGGCUUGCUUUUAUUCCGGUCAUUUCCUAGUUAACUUUUACUUUGAGCCUAGUGAAUGGCUUUUGGAAAUGAGGUGAAUUUUGUGUGAGAUGUUGGGACUGAUUCGAGGAAAUAAUGAAGCCUUAAUGGCUGGAAAAGUAAGAAAUUUAGGGGAAGUGCUGCCCAUUUUUCUAGGCCGUUUGGUUCUUUUAAGUUGGAUUUGUGACGCCCCCACUUCUCCCUAAGGCGCACCAAAGGGUAUCCGCGGAACGCCUGCCUAGCUCUCGCUAGGACUCAAGCAAUAAACGUUCAACCUUAAAGCGAUACUAGAUACCAAAAUCAAAUUAGUACGAAUACAUAUAGUGCGGAAACGUUCAUGCUUAACAAUAUCCAUCCAUUACCCAACCUGUCAGCAUAUGGCUCUGAUGCCAACUGUGACAGUUCUCAUGGUUACAUCACAAGGUACCUAUCAGCUUGCCACCCGCAGUCGUGCGUUCAUAAUACAACUUAAAUUUCAAAAUAUACAUCACAGAUAUCCGAAUGAUACAUUAAACUUCCAAAGUACAAUCAUAAAGGGGUCAAGCCAAAAUACACCUGAAACCCUAAAACACAAUAUAUAUCCAAAAGGAGAUUUCUCCGCGUUAACUCCAUUUCCAGUCCUGUUAAGGAAAACAAAUCUACAGGGUGAGCAAAACGCUCGUGAGGCCAAGGACACACAUGCAAGCACAUUGUUCAAAUAGCAAUCUCAACUUUAUUAAAUAAAACCGUGAUAUUUCAAUAAAGUACCAUUUGAGCAGGAAAAAUAAUCAGAAACAAUUCAAGGAUAUAGUAGCUCUCAGGAGCUAAGUUCCACUCGCUCUGCCGAUGUCAUUCGUAUACCUUCCCGCAUUGACCCUCCUGUCAACCGGGUCGGUAUUUCCAUUUCCGUAGAUCACCACUUACUUCCCUCCGUCCACCGUACACCCCAAGGGCCCACAAGUCUGUUAUAAGGCGAUACUCUACGAGUAUGCCAAGCAGGACCUCUUAUUAGGUCGAGCUUAUAAUCUCAUGGCUCGCCCAAGUUCCCGACCAAGCCCAUUGCCGGCUCGAGUUCAAGGUCGGCCUAUGAGUUUGGGCGUCCCCCAUUCAUUUGGAAGUCGAGGAGGUUCACUCCAACGACAUAUGUAACCAUUACAUAGCAUUGCAUUUCAUUCAUUCAUUCAAUACAUUUCAUUCAUUCAUUCAUUCAUACAUUUCAUCAUUCAUUUGAAAUCAGAACGGAUGCGAUAAAGUACACACCCGCCCUUAUUUUUAAAAUCUCUAAUAAUUACCACAAUUAAGCAAGUAUCAAAGAUUCACACACUUGACACUCACCGAGCAAUCAAUAAAGAUUAUUCGCUGGAGUUCAAGUGUCCAUGGUGAGAUCCUCUUGAAGGUCUCCUUGUGUGCCUGGCAGUUAAUGGUGGAUAAUUACUCAAGUAUCUCAAUUAUCAAGUAAGAUUGUACAUUAGUACGAUCUAAGGAAUAUUUCACAAAAAUGAACCUCAAUUACUCGUAAAUCGAGGUUCAACUUGCGUUUUAUGAAGUAUAAUAUUAGUUGAGUUUUUAUCAUGAAAAUCGUGGGCAAAACGUUUAGAUAAUAUCAAAAGUGUAAAGAGUUCUUGAAAAACUCUAUUUCUUUGAAAUUGGAAAAUUUUCAGCUUUAUCAUGAAUCUUUGAAAAAUCGUAACUCACUCGGUACAAGUCGAAAAUUGGAAAACUUUAUACCGUUGGAAACCUCUUAGAAAGUACUAUAAGUUCCUAGAAGACGCUUUUCCAUGAAUCGAAGUGGAAAGUGCUCAAAAAUGGGCUUGAAGGUGCAGACUUGGUUUCAAGGCAGCAUUAAGUUGGAUUUCGGCCAACUUUGAAAAUUCGGCACGAUUUACACGUUGCAAACCGGCCUCUGAAAUUUGUAACCCAAUUAGAGUUGCAAGUGAGGUGUAUAGCAAAGCAAGCGGAUCAAGAAUCGGAGUUUUGAGUACCGAGAUACGGUAGCUCAAAGUUGGGGAAAAUUCAGACUGGAGAAGAAUUUUCCAGAUUUGAACCUCCAACUCUAGAAAUUUAAUUAGGUAUCGAAACGAACUUGGAUUGACACCAAAAUUGGCAGUAUUUCAAUACUAUAUGGAAGGUAUCUCUCUGUCAAAAUUCAGGGAAAAAUACCCUCGGGAAGGUAGUUAACUAAUCAUCCAAAGUUUCGGAAAAUUCUAAGGCAAUCUGCCUUUUGACUUUCAUUUCCCAAAUUCAAAUCGUUUAACCAAGAAAACUAUCCAACCAUGGUUCAUUUGUGAAAUAAAGGUCUAAGAUACAACCAUGAUACCUUUGGUAAUGGUUUAGCAUCGAAAUUUCAAUUAAUAAGAUCACUCACGGUUUUUGUCCAAAACCAGUCCAAAUGUUACGUUUUUCCAAAACAGGGCAGUCUUCUUAUUUUGGUCACAACGCAUUCAAUUUAACUCGGAAUGGAGUGUGGUUUAUGGCGUUGGAAAAUACAUUCAUAGGACUAAAAGUUCACAGAAGAAAUCAUUCAAAAUUUGGCAAGCAACCAGCUCGAAAUUGAGCCUCAAGUUGCUGCUACAACCAUUCCAGCAGAUCCGAGAGACAGGACAGUGAUCUUAAAACGUUUGGUUCGGCUCACUCACAAAGAAUCAGAACGUGCAUUUUAUCUCAAAUUAAAGCCUGGGAUGUCUAGUUUCAAACGCCACUGACGACACAUGAUUUCGACAUCCGAGGACAGAGUUAUAGCCAAAACACCACCGCUGGUCUGAGCCAUACGUGAACAGUUUCCAGAUUUGCUAGUUUCCCCAAAAAAAUUCAUUUGCCCAACCAAACCUUAUUAUUUUUCAAUGAAAUUUUUCACACAUCUAAUAUAACAUAUAAACAUCAGGUUCAUGCCAAUAAAUCACCAAAAAUUGGCCUUAUAGUGGCCGAAUAAAACAGGGGCAGUUUCGGAAAUUUCUUGUCAUGACCUCUACUUUGAGUUUCCAACAAUAAUACUCCAUGAAUCCAUCAUUAUAACCAUUAAACUACCAUUAAAUCCAACAUUAAUCCUCUAAUCAGCAACAACAACCCAAGUGUGGGAAUACAAAGAGCCCACUUUCACAUUUUACAACCAUAUCAAGCCAUCCAUACACAUGCACUAGCUUAAAGAUGCAUUUCUACCAUCAUAAUUCAAGUUUAAGGUGUAGGAUGAAGUUAUACCUCCUUAGUGCCUUAACCCAGAAAUUUUCGGUCCUCAAGAGCUCCAAGAAACCGUGAAAAUGCAGCCCUUUUUGUUAGCUAAAUCCAACCUCCAAGUAGUUUGCUAGAUGAUCUCCAAGUUUGGUGAAGAUUGGUUGAGGUUUUGGGUUGAUUUAGUGAAGAAAUUUGUGAAGCAAGAGAGUGAGUGAGAGAGGGAAGACUGGUCGGCACUCUUGGUGAGAGAAGAGAGAGUGAAUUUUGAUCCAAGUUAGCUUCCAAGAGAAGAUUAAAUGAGUGGUGUAAAUUCACUCCAAAGUCAACUCUCAUUAGAGCUCGUUUGGCACGUUUUAGGCUCGAUUUUCUCGCGCGUUUGGUUCACUAGUGCACAAACCUCCAAUGCAUUUAUAUUCAUGUAAAUAUUAUUCACUCUUAAUUGUCCCGAAAUAAGGGUCUAAAGUCCCUCAAAUAAAGUCGCGCGUGUGAAAACGCGUACCGUCAAUUUUAACGCUAUAACGCGAAACUUCCGAGAAUUCUUAUAACGAUUGCACUACUAACUAUCACUUGAGUAUUUAUUCAUAAUAUUACCUAUUUUAGAACCACAGUACAAGUUUCCAAUAUUCCAAACUUAUUGUGUUUCUACGCGGUUAAAAUCUCCAAGCACUAUUCACUAUUUUUACUAAACGCGCUCUAGGAAAUUAAUUUUUGAAACGAAUCAUUUUAAAAAUAUAACGAAGUUAUAUUACCAUGUAUUUAGGUCUAAUAAGACUAGAAAAUAUUCCUCGUGGCAAAAAUCCAAUUAAAUAAUUUAUUAAGCCAUAAAUUAGGUUUAAAUAAAAUAAUAGUUUUUACGAGUCCUCACAUGAGUCGAGUAUUAACUCCUCAAAUCUCCAAUAAAUUUGUAUCCAUGCGUCUUUUGGAAAACUAUCCAUGCGUGAGUAGUAUAUGCUCACUUAGAACUUAUUCACCUUUAAUUCUCGAUUAACUUUUCUUAAUCUGCUAUUGUCCGUUCUUAAUUUCCCCAGGAUAAUCAUACUCUCGAAUAUAAUAUCACCUCGAAACACUCGUGUUCACUAUCUCGCACUUAAACAAUCCUUCCGAAAAUUGAAGUUGUUAACGGACAUUUUAAAAACACAAUGAAGACAUUAUUCCAUACGAAUGGAUUUAAAAUGGUCGUAAUAAAUUAUUUGGGGAAAACAGGUGGAUAAAUACUUAAUGAAACCAUUAAUAUUCGAUAAAAUACGAAAUUUUUCUUCGUGUCUUCACAUCCUCCCCUCCUUAACAGAAUUUCGUCCUCGAAAUUCACACCUGAGAAAAUAUCAUUCUCUUCAUGGUUAAGCCUAUCAGAUCGAUCACCAGCUUACGUUUUUUUUUUUUUUUUUUUUGGCGUUUUAACUUCCGAGGCAUAUAUAAUCACCUUUUCAUGUUUUAUUAAUAUACAUUCUAAACCAUCCUUUGAGUCAUCUGUAAAAAGCACAAAAUUACCCCCUACACAUGUACACCAAUUAACAUUCUUCAUCUCAAGAUUUUUCCUUACAUUUAGAACCUCAAAUGGUUUGCCAAGUCUUGCACUCUUACAAAAAUCCUUGAUUAACCAAAGGUAGUAUUCGACUAACUCCGAGAAUUCCAAAUUUCAAUAUGCUUUUCUGGUCGUUUCCUCUUAUACAAUCUUUCAUUUUAGCUGAGUCAAUAAUAAUUCCUUCCUUAGAUACUAUAUAACGUAGAAAGAUUAUUUCUUCCAAUCGAACUCACAGUUAUUGAACUUAACAAAAGUUGGCGUUCUCUCGAGGUUCGUAAAAUUACCAUCAAGUGUCUUUCAUGACCUUCUCAACACUAGAGUAUAUCGAUAUAUCAUCAAUAAAUGCCUCCACCGAUUUGUCCAAAUACGAUUUAACUCCGAUACCUUGGGUCCAUAAAUACUUCUAGUGCGUCUGUCAACUCGAAGGGUGUACCGAAAAUUUUAGAGUGUCCAUGUCUUAAUUUGAAUAUUCAUUUUUAGUUUUUAGUUUUUUUAGUUUUCAUGUCAUUAUUUUAUUUUUUAAGCUGUUUAGGAUGGAAAUUUCUCCGAAAGAAGAAGAAAAACAAUGGAAAAAUCAUGAAUAAGACAAAAGGAAAAAUACAUGGAAAAGAGAAAGAGGAAAAUUGGUCACAGAAAAUACGUUCAAAUUCAAAUCUUGAGGCAUUUUAGUUAUUUUUAUUAGUUUUUUGAGAAAAGAAAAAAGAAAGAAAAAGGGAAAAAUGAAGAAAAUUUGAAAAUAUGGCAUUCUGUUGUUUUUAUUUGUUUAGUUUGUUUUUUUAUUAUUAUUAUUAUUACAUUUGUUUGUCCAUUUUGUUAAUUUUUGUUUUUAUAUUUAUGUAUUUAUAAUUAUGUAUUUAUAUUUAAAAAAAAACGCACGGCAUGCAAGCUGCGUAUUUGUCGCAGCUUGCAAGGGAGGACCGAACGGCUCCUUUAACUGCAAUUUCAGGAAAGAUGUGUGAGGGUUUUAGGGCUCCCAUAUAAAUAGAAAAAGAGGAUUCAGCCGCAAGGAGAGAGUUACUAGGGAGAGAGGAUAGAAAGGAGAGAAAACAGACGGCAAAAGGUUUGAGAAGGAAGGAGAGUUUUGGAGAAAUGGGGGAAGAUAGAGAGCGACGGCCGCAAAAAAAAAAAAAUCUGAAAAACAACAAGAGAAAACAGAAACUAGAGAGAAUGGGCAUCAAGUGACGGCUGCAAAACUUAAGAAAAAACAGAGGAAGGAAAUAGAGGAGCUGGGUUUCGGGCAAACGGAGAAGAUCGAGAACAUCCAAAACUUUCGCCGACAAGUGCCUCAUCAAGGUCAUAGCAGUUUCGAGGAGUUCAAUCGUUUCAAGCUCAAGCGUUUUACACAGCAGUUGUUUAGGGCUCCCAAGGUAACAACUUGCUUAUCCUCUUCCGCCUGCACACCCCCUCUGUAAUCAAAAUCUGGGCUACUUGAUUUUUGUUCUCAGUCUUGCGGUUAUUUUAUUUUAUUUUCAUGCGCUGAUUGACUCCAAUAUGGGUAUCAUGUGGUAGCAUCUAGGCUUUGCAUUAGCGUGCAUUCCCAAGACUGUUUGCAUAGGAGUUAUCUCUGUUUUCUCUUAGCCAGCAACAAACCCAUGUUGUCUCUGGUUUCUUGAGUUGAUGCUGGUUCAAAUUUUCGAUGUUUUUGACUCUGCCAUGUUGCUCAUUUGCUAAGAUAGGAUGCAGUAGAAGUCUAAAAGAUGAGUAUGUUUAAGAACAGGGGUUUAGGAUUUUCUAUGAUGGUUAACCAAUGAAUCCAUGAGGUUUGUUUGAGUCUUAGUUUGGUUAUGGUUGUGUAUGAAAGAUUGCUGCAACAGGUUCGAAAUUCUGUUUUUAUAACAGCAGUUUUUGAGGGAAAAAUCAAUCUUUUAGGCUGAGAAGGUUUUCCAGAAUGGCCUAAAUUACCUAUGGGGUUUUGUUUGUUGUUUCAUGGUGUCCCGUGUGUGUGCUUGCUGCCACUUCGAGUAGCAAGGUGUGGUGUACCAUUAAACUGCCUCAAGCAGCUGAAGGCCGGCGGCAGCCAUGAUUUUCUUUCUUUUCUUUAUUGUUCAAGUUUUGGUUUUACAUGUUAUGUUAUCUUUAGUGUUCGGUUGACAUUGUUGUUCUGUUUGGUUGAGAUUUUAGCUGUGUUUGGGGUGGAAAAGUUGCAUUAAAAUGAACACAAGAAUUACAGGAAACAUGGCUGGAAAUUUGCCGAGUUUUAUUCUUUCUUUUGCUGCAUUUUUUGUCCUUUGUCUUUGUUUGAAUCUUCAAGGCAGUUUAUGCUUGGGUGGUAUUUGAUGGUAAUUGGGGGGUGAAUUCCUUGCAUUUGUUUUUAGAUGACAUAUUGGUAGAGCUUGUUUGAAUGUUUGUACGCAAAUAUAUCUAAGCUGAAAUGAAAGAAGUAAAAGUUGCUGCAUUUUUUUUUACUGUUUCUGUCCAUGGCUGCUCUCUGAGUUUGCACUUGGGUUGCAUGUUUAAUUUUGUGUUGAAGAGAUGAGUUGGAGAGCUUAGUGCUGAGUUUAUGGCUUUGGGUUUACAAAAUAAAAAAAAACAUCUGAAUCAUGCCCAAGUACUUGCUGGGAAAUGCAUUUCAGUUUUGCUGAACCAGAAACUUACGGCCUUGUCUUGUUGUUUCCUUCCAUUUCGGUUCCAAGCUUUGCUGUUUUUUUAUUAGAUAAUAAUUCCAGCAUGUUUCUUCCUGGUUUGUUGGCAUGAAUGUGUUUAAUUUGAGUAAGGAAAUGGCAUGAACUUUGGUUGCGGGAAAAGGGAUUCGUUGAAGUUAGAAAUUUGCAGCAAUCUUUUUCUUUCUUUCGCUGUUAGUUCUUUCCCCUUAAUGGUCAGUUCCAAUUUUUUUGUUUCACCCUUUCAAUGAAGCUGCAUGUUUAGUGGAUGAUGGAUAGAAUCUUGGUGUUGGAAAAACCUUUGUGCAUAAUGAAUUGGAUAGACUCGUGGCUGGAAAUUCCCCUUAAGCCUUGAACUAAAAAUGCAGCAGGUUGUUUUAGUUUUAAUUGCAGAAGUCUAAGUCUUCUACGUAUGCAUGCAUGCAGAUGUUUUAAAAAUUACUUUUUAAACUCCCCAACUCCCAAGUAACUCUAAUUUGACCCAACCAAUUGAAUAAUGUCUUCAAUUUGGUCCUUGGCAGUUUUAGUUUUUGAAAUUUCAUUGAUUGUUUUGCUUCAAUUAGCUACCAUGCUUUGUCAAUUGCACUUAAGUCAUGACUUUGAGAGCUUUACGAUCAAGUGAGCUUUGUUUUUGCAUUUUUCUUAAUUAAAGUGGUACCUUGACCCGUUUAUUAUUUUGGAGGGUAAAUUAGUAAUUUCACUUCAUUAGGGCAUCAAUUCAAGGGAGGUACACUCUAUCCCUCAUUUGCACUUUAUUUGACCCUACGUGCUCCUACAUGCUAAGUGAAACUUGCAUGUCUACUUGCUUCCUUUGUUUUUCUUUAAUUCCUUUCAUUUACUUCAUUUACUUUUGCUUUUUAUUUAAGUAAUUCUUUAUGGCGUAUGUGUACACCUCUUGGCUUGUAAUAGAUAGGGCUUGGGGGAGCAUUCGAUGAAUACCUGUUGAAGACAUGUGCCUAGCUAGCAAAUGUAAUAGUUAGGGCUUUAAUUGCUUUAUGUGUCUUGCAUGCUUAGUUGCUACGUGUUAAUUUGCUUUAUUAGGGCCUUGCAUCUAGUCGAGCAUGCUAAAUGUUAUGUGCUACGUGUUUACGAGUGUUUGGCAUGUCUACUCGCUUUCCAUAGCCAUGAAUGAAUGUGAUGGAUGAAUGUACGUUUUCGCUAGUCCAACGCUAGUCGGAAUUCAUAGAAUGGGCUAGUCCAACGCUAGACCCAAUAGGUCCAUUUCCUUUUCAUUCGUGCAUAGUUUGCAUGUUCACUACAUAUCAUGCAAUUUUCCUUAGUUUUAUCAUUUGGCAUGCUCCUCUAAACCUUUCCCCUUCACUUUAGGUCUUGCAUUUCAUGCUAGUUAGGGUACAUUUGCUUGAAGUGUCCCCUCCGAUAAGGGAAACGAGCGAGUGUGGCUACUCGAUAGCCUUAGCACGCUAGUUUUGCCUUCUAAUCAAAGGGAAAAUCGAAGUCGAAAAAGUUAGGAGUCAUUCCCAUACCCGACCUGAUGCAUUCCUUUAGGUUCAUUCAUUCUCAAUUUUUCACUUACUCACUUUUCCAAUUCACAUUUCCUCAUUACUUUUCCUUUCCUUAUUGUUCAAUUUUGGUUUCUACUUCACAAAAUUGCACUUAAUUACGAUCUAUAUACACUUAUCACUAUAUUUCAUACACUUGCACACAAACACUUGGAUUUCCAUACAAUUGCACACAUGCACCUUUUUAUACACUUGCACACUUGCACUUGAAUCAUCAUUUGCAUUAAUCGACCUCUAUAAGGUUUUCUUUCAUUGGCCGCCACAAUUCAUGUGGUUGGGACCAAAAACCUUACAAGAGACAUCUUAGAAUCUAGGGUUUUGCAUUUCAUGUAGCACAUCCAAAUGUAAUAAAUUCUUUGGUUAAAACAAGAAAAUCUUUGAUUAAAUCACGCAACUAGCCUUGGCUAGGUCAAAGGGGUGCCUUGGAUUGUAUCAUUGCCUUCCCCUUUGUCAAAUGUGACUCCCGAACCUUUUUUCUUGGUUUACGUGGACUAGGAGUCGUUUAAAAGGGGUUUCUUACUAAUUUUUUCUCAUUUUUCUUAAAAAAUUCGUUUUUUAGGUGACUUGGUACACCUUAACUCAUUACCAAGUGGCGACUCCGUUCUUCAUUUUAAAAACCCUUUUUAAACUAUAAUUUUGGGUCAAAUCGUCGUAUUUUCAAAACCCCAUUUAGACCCAUUUUUUCUUUUAAAUCACAAUUUAUUUUCCAAUCACAAAUUGAAUCAAAAACAUCUUUCUCAAACCAUUUAUUUUUCUUAUCAAAAAAUGGGGCGCGACAUAUGCGUCUUUUGGAAACUAUCCACGCGUGAGUAGUAUAUGCUCACUUAGAACUUAUUCACCUUUAAUUCUCGAUUAACUUUUCUUAAUCUGCUAUUGUCCGUUCUUAAUUUCCCCAGGAUAAUCAUACUCUCGAAUAUAAUAUCACCUCGAAACACUCGUGUUCACUAUCUCGCACUUAAACAAUCCUUCCGAAAAUUGAAGUUGUUAACGGGACAUUUUAAAAACACAAUGAAGACAUUAUUCCAUACGAAUGGAUUUAAAAUGGUCGUAAUAAAUUAUUUGGGGAAAACAGGUGGAUAAAUACUUAAUGAAACCAUUAAUAUUUGAUAAAAUACGAAAUUUUUCUUCGUGUCUUCACAGGAUUUGCCUUUUGGUAGAAAUAAAAGGGCUUUUGGGUUGUUGAACCUAGGUCUUUAUGCUAUCUUUUUGUUCCCAAAAAAUCAUGUUUUGUACCCUUGCAUCAGUAAUUAUUUGGCGAGGCAUACGACUAGUAGUCGAGCCUCAUGUGCAUUGUGUUUACUCGAUUAUGGAUGUGAAACCUUCAAUUGGUUUAUUUUGGUUAUUUUAGGGUUUCUUGGCGAUUAAGGCCAAUCUGAAGUAAAAACUUUUGAAGUUGAGCCGGUGAGUGUACCACUCCCCUCCAUUGCUGUUUAACUUGAUUUCUGCUCUGCAAUCUGUUUAUUUGUUUGAGACGAGGGUGUACUUUAUCACACUCGUUCUCUUGUCUGUUCAUAUGCCAAUUUACUAUGCAAAAUUUGAAUCUGUUAUCUGUGUCUGCAUCUGUUCGGAUUUCUAUGACCUAUGAGCUCAGUCCUAUGGCUAAGUUAUUCGAGUCGGGCCGGCAAGGGCCUGGACGAUUAGAUAACGAACCACGGUAGUCUGUUCGGGGAUUUUGGGUAUUGAGACCCUUGAUUCCGGGUUUACUCGAGUAUUACCAUUUUGUUCGUUUGAGGUGAGGCGGGCCCGGUAAAGGGGUGUUUGGUGGAUGGAAUUCGGUGUUAAGAGGGGUCUACGGACGUUGUUGGUUCUAUAUACGUUGACGGAGAGUCAACCGGUUUGGAUCAAGUACUGCGCUGGAAAUUUGGCUCCUGAGAGCCACCCGUAUCCUUCUGAUUUGAAUCAUUGGUUCCUUUGCUUUACAUCUGACAUGUGUAUCUGAUUUGUUAAAUGUGAAAUGCCAUGAUUUUAAUGCUAUCUGUUUGGUACCUCAUUGAGCGCAAGCUCACCCCUUUCUGUUCCUUUUGUUUUCCUUACAGGAAAAUAAACCCUUUUGGUUUGGAUUUGACAAAUGGCUGCCAAAUUGAGCUAGUUGAACAUAUCUUUUGUAUAGCUCAUGUAUUAAAACCCUAAGUGUACUUUUGGGGCGUUUUCUCUUUUGAUUUGGCAAACCGUGCAUAUGUAUUAACUUUUGAAAGCUUUUGUAUGUCAUUUUGAUUUGUAAACGCUAAAGUUCAGAUGUGAAUGUUUGUUCGCUAUUUCGGUUGGAUUCUGACGGGUCGGUUACUAUUCAUGGCCGACUCCGGAUUUCAUUUUUUUUAUUUUGGGUUAUUUUACCAUUUUGACUUGUUUACGCUCGUUUGUAAGUUCCGGAUCGCUAUAGAUAGUUCUAGUCUGCAUCGUUAGUCCUGGCGAGAGCUGGGCAGGCGACCCGCCAAACCCUCUGAUUCGCCUUAGGGGGAGGUGGGACCGUCACAAUUUGGCCUUGGAGGUCUUCAUAAGAAAUGUAGGGUUGUGUUUUAGCUUCGAAACACCAUAAGAUACACUUCAAUCGGACUUCGGUAGCCAGAGUUAUUGCUGUUUAACAAUUGUGCAGUUAGCCAACCGGUUUGUGAGUUUCUGGUUUCAUAUAUGUCAAUUUUGACCUAGUUGCACUACAAACUGGACUGAGUGGCCUUCUUCAACAUUGUAGCCCUAUCUGUUAGCUUCGAAACGGUGUGUCUUGUACCUCCAUCCGAUAAUCGUAGCGCCAAUGGUGCCAAAACCGUAAAAUGAUGUCAAAAACUAUUUUUAUCCGGAAAUGUUUCUAGCUUGAUUUUUGUAUUUAUAUGACUUUAAGCCUAGUGAAUGGCUUUGGAAAUGAGAUUAUUCUAUAUGAGAUGUUGGGACUAUUUUGAGGAAAAUAAUGAAGCCAUUAAUGGCUGGAAAAUAGGUAAACACAAGGGGCAUACCGUCCGUUUAUCUUCUUGUAAUGUGAGCAAGUUAAAGUGAUUUUGCGAAUGUAUUUCGUGACGAAUUGGACGUAUUUACUGAAAAUGUUACCGGCUCUUUCAAAAGGUGGCCGAGGGCUAAAUUUCUAUUUGAACCUGUAUAUUUCCGCUUGGCAAAUAAAAUGAUCAUUUUACCAUUCUAAAACCUAAUACCUCUUUGGGUUGAAAUUCCAAACGUUUACUUACUGUUUACCAAAAUAUAGAGGUUGACCUAGGGUUCUCUCGGCCACAAGUGAAUAACUUUUAAGUGAAGUUUUAAGAGUGAAAGUGAGAUAGUUUUGCCACCUUUUCAUGAUUUUCAUCAAGGCAUAUAGUCUAUUGAUUUUGAACUACAUAAACGAUUCGGAAACAAUACUUCUUAGCUUACCUUAUUGGAUUUCGAUUUGUCGUUGGUUAAAGUGUUUUCUGCCGGAAAUUUCAUAACCUUUUUGAGUUUGGUUUCACGGUUGGUUUAUGAACCCUAGUAAUUUCCGUCCACGGAUCCAUAUGCUCUAUUGACACUUUAAAAGUCAUUUUAUACGUUUACUCACGAGUAGUCGGGUAAUUCUUGAUUUCAUCCAAAUCAUGCUAGAUGGAUUGUAAUGUGUUCUUUGUUUACUUUUAGGUUUCAUUGGUGAUUGAGAAGUGGACGUUAUUUUCCGUGUAUAGGUGAGUGUUCCCUGUUUGAUAUGUUUCAUGAUUAUAUGGCUGGUAUGAAUGAUUGAUAACAUGUUAUAUGCUUUCAAUGAUUGUUAAAAUGAGUUUUCUAGGCAAGUGUGUACUUUAUCGCACUCGGCCUAAACGAUUGUGAAAUUUUCAAUGAUUGAAUGAUUGAAAUGUUAUUUGUACAUGAAUGUAAGCCUUUUGGCUGAACUGGCCAUUGCCCCUUGUUACCGGUCGUCUCGAGCCAGAAGCGGACUCGGUCGGGCGAUUAGGGACCUGGGUGAACGUUUUGGUAUACUCGAGUAUUACCUUGUAGGUUGGUGCAGGUUGGUGGAGCCUGGUGAAUGAAUGAAUGAACGAAUGAAUGAAUGAGGGUUUUACUUAUAUACAAAUGCAUUUUCAAAUGAUUGAAGGUAUAAGGGAACGAAAGGAGAAUGAAUGAACGAAUGAAUGAACAAAUGGCUCCUUGUAAGCACGUAUCCUUUUAAUGAAGGUGUUUAUCGCUUUCUUUUGUAUUUGAAUUAUUGGUAACAUGUAAUGAAUGCAUUGAAUUCUUGUUGCCUAUGUGUUCGGAACCUCACUGAGCUUAUAGCUCACCCCUUUUAGUUUGUUUUCCUUAACAGGGGAAGGCGAGCAAGGACGAGAGCCGGUAUAGACUAGCUGGGUCUAGCCCUUGGUUUUCUUUUAUCAUGGUUCUCGCCCUAGUGCUUGGCACGGGCUGGUUGUAUGGUGAUUUGAGAACUUCUGUAUAUUUGACGGUUGUACUUCUUCUUGCGAUAUUAUUGUAUAUACGUUUUGUUUUAAGUUGGAUCGUGGUUAGAUAUUCUUAUGGUUGCUUAAAGUGAUCGACUGAGUCCCGGCGAGAGCUGGGCAGGUAGUCCGCUGAACCCUUUGGUUCGCCUUAGGGGAAAGUGGGGCUGUCACAUUCUAUGUCUCUGUUGACUGCUGCAAUAGAUCCUUGGCUAUCCUGUCAUUGCCAAACUAUAGUGGGCAGUUAGACUUGGAACAAACAUUCUUGAAAUAUUGAAACAAAGUGUUUUUGAUGUUGUCAACCCAUCAAGCAAAUUUUUGAUACCUUGCUAAAGAAUUGAUUUGAAGGCCAAAAAAUUCUUCAAAUUCUUGUUUAUGAUUUACCACUUAAAAAGUUGUGAACUUAUCUAUGCUACCUGGUAUGACAUAAAAUUGAACUUGCUUCAAAAAAUCAUUUAGAUAAGUGUGAUAUACCAAUUUAAUAGACUUGUAUGUUAAACAAACCUGCAUACCCUUCAUCAGAAUUGACUAAUUUUAUACUAGGUGCCUACUUGCUUGGAAGGUCAACAUAAGAAAUAAUAAAACUGAUAAAAGUUGCCUUUGACUACCUAGACUUUCUUUUCAUGAGCAUAUUAAGCUCUAGUUUUGACCCAUUUUUUCUCUUUAGUUUUGGAUGCUAAUGACCAUACUUUUAGUUAAUAUCCAAAUGAUACAUUAAAAAAAUGAUUGAGUUUAUUUGCUAGCAAAUCCUUAAGUUUUCUAUUUGUUCUUGUCAAGUUUUGCUUUUCACUUACUAAUUCUUGUACUAUUUUAAUGUAGAUAUAUGUUGUCUAUUCAAACAUUUUGGGAGAGCAGCAGUAGCAAUGACUGCUUGACUGAAGAACAAUGGAGACGAAGCUAUCUUUUGCUUAGGAAGUGUUUAGGCAUUAGACAUUUGCUUUAGGAAUCGAAAUUAUUUUGUAUUUGUGAAAAUUUAGACUGCAUACAACUUAUCAAAGUAUGGGUAAUAUUGAAUAUUUUGGCUUAUUUAAUGUAAUGGAUCUCUUUGGUUAUUUAUUGGCAAGCUUUGUUAUUUUGCUUUCAUUUUUAAGACAUAAUUGACUGAUUCUAGUUGGAAAAGUGUUUUCAUGAAACAAUAGUGACAAGGUGAAUUUCUCCAUUGACAACAAUCUGUUGUCACUAAAUGAAAAGACAUUCAGUGACUACAAAAGUUGUCAGUAAUUAAUCAAUAUUAGAUGACCUCAGACUAGUUUUUAUUGACGAUAUUGCUCCAGGUAUCAAUGACAAGUCUCAAGUUGUCACUAGAAUUAUAUUAGUUACUGACGACAAUUGUUGUCACUAGUAAGUACUAUUCACUGAUGACUUUUAAGGUGAUCAAUGUAUACUUUUACCGACGGGCAUUUAGUGACGACUCUGUGACGAUCUAAAACUUGUCAAUAAAAGUCAUUACUGACAACUUUAUAUUUUUUUGUGACAAAAACACCUUGUCACUGAUGUUCAAUUUUCUUGUAGUGUGUAGUGAGUCAGUGAGUCCCAGCGAGAGUUGGGCAGGUGGUCCGCUGAACCCUUUGGUUCGCCUUUGGGGGAGGUGGGGCUAUCACAGUUGGUAUCAGAUCUUAGGCUUCAGAUCUCUGUAGUGUAUCCUAGGCUAACGUUUAGGAUGCCCGACUGUGGGACUGGUUUGAAAAUGGUAAACGUAAGAUAUGACUUGGUUGCUCCCAAGAGUACAUCAACCGUGUGACGGCCCCACCUCCCCCUAGGGCUUACCCCAGGGUUCGGCGGACCGCCUGCCCAGCUCUCGCCAGGACUCACUCACUCGAAUCACGUGCAUACAUCCAUGGACCGUAAUUAACAUCGCAAUUCAAGCUUAGAAUUUACAUUGAUGAAAAUCAAGGUACAAAGCCUCAAUAUACCCAAACUGGUUCAAAGCGGAUACAAUGCAAAUACAAAACAUUCUAUUCGAGGAAUAGCGCGAGUACAAGACAAAAGUCAAAAGUCAAACAACUAGACUACGCUAGUCUUUACACAUCUCACGCCUCGCUCGUACCCCCUGUAAGGAAAACAAAUAGCGUGGAAUGAGCUAAAUGCCCAGUGAGGUUCCACAUAACAAAUUGACCAUUUUAAAAGUACGAGUAUCAACAUAGCAAGUUAAUGGCAUCAAAAUUCAUAAGAGUGGACAAUAAUAUUUCAAGUAGCAAAUUUCCAAAUGAUCAAGUAUAAAGUGCUUUUGGUUUUCAAAAGGAACAACAAUCCGAUAAGCAAUAAUCAUUGUCAAGUAUAAGGAUACAGAAGGCUCUCAGGAGCCAAAUUCCCAUUGCAUCUCCAGAGCUUGAUCAAGUAACAGUUGACACUCCGUCAACUUUCAAGUAAGUAACCAAUCCAGUAGAACACCACUUAAAUGACUCUCCAUCCACCGUUCAAACCCCCAGCUGGGCCCAAAAUCCUCAAGAACACGGGUGGUAAUACUCGAGUAUACCGAUUAGCCGAGGAGAUAUCACUCCACUCGACAAAACAAGAGACCCAGGGUUCAUUACCCAAUCGACCAAGCCCUUGCCGGCUCGACUUAAGUAACUCGCCACAGGGUUUCUGGAAUUCCAGGAAGUGCGCGCAUCAUAAACGAGUAUAUCAAGUCAAUUGCAACAAUAAAUGAGUAUACAUCACAUAAGGGCAAGUGCGAUAAAGUACACUCUUGCCCUAACAAUUCACGUAUAUAACAUGUAAUCAUAUCAGUCACGUAUCAAGUUCAAGUAUCAGGUUCAAUUCGGUAUUUGAAAGCACUCACCAAAAGAUAUAGUGCCUUUACUGGUCACUUUCAGGUUAUACUCCGGGUUCGGAGUCCAAAUCUGCGAUAAAAUUCAGUUUGAGAACUUUGAAACAUGACUAAGAUUCGAAACUUAAACGUUUCGUUCAAUAAAAAUCAAGAAAUUGGAAUUCACUUGGAGAGUAGUCGUUAAACACUUACUCGCUUUUUAAACGAUAAAACUUUGUAACAUUUACUCACUUUCUCAUUCAAACCCAAAAGUACACACACAAAAAUCUAACUUCAAUAGUCGUCCAAUAGGCUCAAGAUAACAUAAGGACAACAAUCAUACUAGUAACAAGUACGGAAAUGAUAUUAAACAAAAACAGAUUUGACGGGUUUUUACGGAAAUGACACAACCGAUACUAUGCUUAUCGGAUUGAGAUGAAAAUUAUACUGUUUCGAAGCUAAGACAUAGGGGUACAAUGUUCAUGAAGAUUACUUAGUUCAAUUUCUAGCAUAACCUGGUCAAAUUCCCAAAUUACAGAGCCAACUUCCAACUAUACGGCUAAUUAACUGCACUGCACUAGUAUGGUCAUAUCUCAGGCUACCAAGGUCCGUUUAAGGUGUUCUUGGAGGCGUUUAAAAGCUAAGACAGAGUACUAAAACUUUCAUGUUUUGGAAAAUGACUAAAUCUGAACGGAUCAUAGUGAAUAAACACGACCAAGAAGACUAAACUGUCCACGCGGAACACUGGAAUUUAACCUAGAACAGUGAGGGUAUUUUCAUUGCUCCGAUUGAGCUAAAAUUUUGUAGACAACUAUAAAAUACCAUUCUAUACAAGUUUCAUGUUUUAACCUAAGGCCAAUUCUAUGGCGACCCCACUUCCCCCUAUGGCGAACCAAAGGGUUGGCGGGCCGUCUGCCCAGCUCUCGCCAGGACUCACGCAAGCAUUUUAACCCAAAUCCAUUCGAAGGAUAACUUAAUCUAUGAUAAAACAAAUUUUUUUUUUCACAACUAGGGCCAUCCUUAAAACCGCAUUAACUUCAGAGAUAGCAAAGAUAAAUUUGCCAGUCAUGGCUCUUAAACUUCCCACGUACUACGUACUAAAGUAUAAGGUCGUACCAAUCCGGAUAGAUAACUACAUAAAUCUCUAUUACAAACAUACAAGCCAAGUAACCGAAAUAGGGUUUACACAUUUUCCAGCUUCAAGUGGCAAUCCAAAGAAAAGGAAAUACAUUAUUCCAAAACACAUUACAGCCCAUAGAAUAGGUUAUAGUAUUCCAAUACAAUCCAAAAGGGAAACAUAAGUAAGCAUCCAGCUUUCAGUUUCCAGAACCUGUUAAGGAAAACAAUAAACGUGGGGUGAGCUAAAGCUCAGUGGUGCCCCAAAACAUGCAAUCACAUAAAUCAAACAGCGAGUAAUAAUUUAAUCAAAUUGAACAGUUAAGAAAGCAUGUAACAGCGCAAGGUAGGAUACAGGGGCUCUCAGGAGCCAGUUUCCACGCUUGACCAGAUACCAUAGUAGUUGACCCUCCGUCAACUUGCACUACUUAUAGUCCAUGUAGAUCCACUUAUUUUAAUCCUAACCCGUCAUCAUUCAUACCUCUGCUUCGGGCCCGAACUUCGUCUACCGACGCAGUAUACUCGAGAUAUACCCGUAAUAAAUUAGUCGAGGGAUUCACCCAACGACGUUUUGGUAGUUGGAUUCAGAAGUCGAGGGAUUCACCCAACGACGCAACUACAUUUAGAUUCACGGAUUCAGAUGUUAUGGUAGUUGGAUUCACAUGUCGAGGGAUUCACCCAACGACGCAACUACAUUUAGAUUCACGGAUUCAUUAGAAAAUGUUUCACACAAGUCACCACUCGAACGGCUAGUGCAAUAAAGUAUACACUGCUCACUUCGAUGGAUCAGAAACCAUUUAUUGCAUUUUGACAAUUAUCACAUAGCGAGUUGAUAAAGCACUUAACCACGUAGCAUAAAACAAGCAGAGACACUCACCAAGAGUGAAAUUCAGAUAUCGAAUGAGGAAUCGAAUUCCACGUCCUCGCAAUAUCCUAAAAAAAUCAGGUUUUGAAACUAUAAGUUACUAUACAGCCUCUGAGCUUGUAAAUAUCGAGGUAUACCUAAUAUAUUACUAUUUUACUAAAAUAGGAUUUCUUGCCGCGCAAGUUUCCCAAGCUUUUCACUAAAUUUAGUAAAACUCGUAGUUUGGAACUUUUCCUAUAGUUAACUAUCCAGAAGCAAUACUUAAGGAAAGAAAAGGAUUUAAUAUAAAGCUUAGGUUUUCAAAAGCUAUAGAGUUUAUUUACUAUAGUUAUCGAGGCUAGUUUGAACUAAAGGAAAUUAUCAAGUUGGAAAGUUUUAGGCCGAAACACUAGAUUUUGAGUUUUAUAAUUUAAUACUAGCUGGGAAAUAUUUUUGAUUGCUUUGAUCACAGCUCCUCGAGUUCGCAAGGUCGAUACAAUUUCCGUAGCUCCGAUUCCGGUUCGAAAUCAUAAUAUGGAUCAAAAUAUGGCAAAAAUCACAUAUCAAAUUACUAGGGCUUCGUCAAUCAUUAGCCCUAGAUUUCAACAAGUGCAUUUCUGAAUAAAAUAAAAUGAUCAACUAAGGCUUCAUCAAUCAUUAGCACUUGGUUUUAGCCAGCCCAUCAUAAGCAAAUAAAAAUAAAAGUAAAGCCUUCAAGACAUUCAAGCAAUUUAACUUCCAUCACCCUGUAGUACUUAUAAAAUCAUUCAAAUGGCCAAGGGCUUCAUCAAUCAUUAGCCCUUGACAUCAUCAAUUACUUCCAACCAUAAUUCAGUCAAGAAUUUGAACCACUAGUAAGAUAAAAGCUCAAUCCGAAUUCAAGUUUAGUUUCACAAUGAAACAAGUCAUUCAUGCAAAACAGUCCAGUUCAAAACUAGAUUCAUUCGGCAACUAAAAUCAUCCAGAAAAAUCCAGAAAUUUUGUCCAUUAGCCACGGAUGAACAUGCAUGAAGGAAUGUUCUGUAAUCAUUUUAUUUUUCUGGCUAAAACAUGCUUUAAAACUCUCAACUUCCUCAUGCAAUCUCUUAGCAAAACAAUGCGCAUCUCCAGAUCAGGAGUUGAAAUUAAACCAUGAUUACAAACUCCAAAAAUUUCCGGGUUUAAAUCUCACGACUCUUUCUCAAAAUUUCUAGCAAUAACAAUGGUUCUAAAACAGGAUUUUCUUUGGUUAAAACAGAAUUUUUUUUUUUGUACUCUAUGAGAACAGGUAAACACGUAGCUAGCUGGUAAAGGUUUUCAAAUCAAAUCCAGGUUCAAGCUACAAUUAUACUCAUCUAACACAAAUCCAGAAAUUUUACCAAUUAUUCUCGAAUGAUCAUUCAUGAACCAAUUUUUCGGCUUUCACUUUAUUUUCCAAGUUCCUAGUUUCAUUGCCCAAUCGUGUAACUCAACAUGCAGGCCAUUAAGCAUUUUGUCUUCACUUGGAUAGUUAGGGUUGUAACCACAGCUUGUCAUAAUUAAGCAAAUUAAGCAAAUCAUUUCUUAAUUAGUCUCGGCAGAAGGUUUUCAUCAAACUAGAAUUUCUUAGGUUCCUUAAUUCAUCAAUCAACUUCAUCGAAUUAACAUGCAGGGUCCUAGACAUCAUAAACAUUAAGUUCUACUCGGCUAAUUACACUUGAGUUGUGACGACCCCACUUCUCCCAAGGGCGAACCCAAGGGUAUCGGCGGGCCGCCUGCCUAGCUCGCGCCAGGACUCAAAACUUAAAGUUCGAAAGAGCACUAAAUACAAUAUAUACAACCCCAUGUGCAUUGUGUUUACUCGAUUAUGGAUGUGAAACCUUCAAUUGGUUUAUUUUGGUUAUUUUAGGGUUUCUUGGCGAUUAAGGCCAAUCUGAAGUAAAAACUUUUGAAGUUGAGCCGGUGAGUGUACCACUCCCCUCCAUUGCUGUUUAACUUGAUUUCUGCUCUGCAAUCUGUUUAUUUGUUUGAGACGAGGGUGUACUUUAUCACACUCGUUCUCUUGUCUGUUCAUAUGCCAAUUUACUAUGCAAAAUUUGAAUCUGUUAUCUGUGUCUGCAUCUGUUCGGAUUUCUAUGACCUAUGAGCUCAGUCCUAUGGCUAAGUUAUUCGAGUCGGGCCGGCAAGGGCCUGGACGAUUAGAUAACGAACCACGGUAGUCUGUUCGGGGAUUUUGGGUAUUGAAACCCUUGAUUCCGGGUAUACUCGAGUAUUACCAUUUUGUUCGUUUGAGGUGAGCGGGCCCGGUAAAGGGGUGUUUGGUGGAUGGAAUUCGGUGUUAAGAGGGGUCUACGGACGUGUUGGUUCUAUAUACGUUGACGGAGAGUCAACCGGUUUGGAUCAAGUACUGCGCUGGAAAUUUGGCUCCUGAGAGCCACUCGUAUCCUUCUGAUUUGAAUCAUUGGUUCCUUUGCUUUACAUCUGACAUGUGUAUCUGAUUUGUUAAAUGUGAAAUGCCAUGAUUUUAAUGCUAUCUGUUUGGUACCUCAUUGAGCGCAAGCUCACCCUUUCUGUUCCUUUUGUUUUCCUUACAGGAAAAUAAACCCUUUUGGUUUGGAUUUGACAAAUGGCUGCCAAAUUGAGCUAGUUGAACAUAUCUUUUGUAUAGCUCAUGUAUUAAAACCCUAAGUGUACUUUUGGGGCGUUUUCUCUUUUGAUUUGGCAAACCGUGCAUAUGUAUUAACUUUUGAAAGCUUUUGUAUGUCAUUUUGAUUUGUAAACGCUAAAGUUCAGAUGUGAAUGUUUGUUCGCUAUUUCGGUUGGAUUCUGACGGGUCGGUUACUAUUCAUGGCCGACUCCGGAUUUCAUUUUUUUUAUUUUGGGUUAUUUUACCAUUUUGACUUGUUUACGCUCGUUUGUAAGUUCCGGAUCGCUAUAGAUAGUUCUAGUCUGCAUCGUUAGUCCUGGCGAGAGCUGGGCAGGCGACCCGCCAAACCCUCUGAUUCGCCUUAGGGGGAGGUGGGACCGUCACAAUUUGGCCUUGGAGGUCUUCAUAAGAAAUGUAGGGUUGUGUUUUAGCUUCGAAACACCAUAAGAUACACUUCAAUCGGACUUCGGUAGCCAGAGUUAUUGCUGUUUAACAAUUGUGCAGUUAGCCAACCGGUUUGUGAGUUUCUGGUUUCAUAUAUGUCAAUUUUGACCUAGUUGCACUACAAACUGGACUGAGUGGCCUUCUUCAACAUUGUAGCCCUAUCUGUUAGCUUCGAAACGGUGUGUCUUGUACCUCCAUCCGAUAAUCGUAGCGCCAAUGGUGCCAAAACCGUAAAAUGAUGUCAAAAACUAUUUUUAUCCGGAAAUGUUUCUAGCUUGAUUUUUGUAUUUAUAUGACUUUAAGCCUAGUGAAUGGCUUUGGAAAUGAGAUUAUUCUAUAUGAGAUGUUGGGACUAUUUUGAGGAAAAUAAUGAAGCCAUUAAUGGCUGGAAAAUAGGUAAACACAAGGGGCAUACCGUCCGUUUAUCUUCUUGUAAUGUGAGCAAGUUAAAGUGAUUUUGCGAAUGUAUUUCGUGACGAAUUGGACGUAUUUACUGAAAAUGUUACCGGCUCUUUCAAAAGGUGGCCGAGGGCUAAAUUUCUAUUUGAACCUGUAUAUUUCCGCUUGGCAAAUAAAAUGAUCAUUUUACCAUUCUAAAACCUAAUACCUCUUUGGGUUGAAAUUCCAAACGUUUACUUACUGUUUACCAAAAUAUAGAGGUUGACCUAGGGUUCUCUCGGCCACAAGUGAAUAACUUUUAAGUGAAGUUUUAAGAGUGAAAGUGAGAUAGUUUUGCCACCUUUUCAUGAUUUUCAUCAAGGCAUAUAGUCUAUUGAUUUUGAACUACAUAAACGAUUCCGGAAACAAUACUUCUUAGCUUACCUUAUUGGAUUUCGAUUUGUCGUUGGUUAAAGUGUUUUCUGCCGGAAAUUUCAUAACCUUUUUGAGUUUGGUUUCACGGUUGGUUUAUGAACCCUAGUAAUUUCCGUCCAUGGAUCCAUAUGCUCUAUUGACACUUUAAAAGUCAUUUUAUACGUUUACUCGCGAGUAGUCGGGUAAUCCUUGAUUUCAUCCAAAUCAUGCUAGAUGGAUUGUAAUGUGUUCUUUGUUUACUUUUAGGUUUCAUUGGUGAUUGAGAAGUGGACGUAUUUUGCGUGUAUAGGUGAGUGUUCCCUGUUUUAGAUGUUUCAUGAUUAUAUGGCUGGUAUGAAUGAUUGAUAACAUGUUAUAUGCUUUCAAUGAUUGUUAAAAUGAGUUUUCUAGGCAAGUGUGUACUUUAUCGCACUCGGCCUAAACGAUUGUGAAAUUUUCAAUGAUUGAAUGAUUGAAAUGUUAUUUGUACAUGAAUGUAAGCCUUUUGGCUGAACUGGCCAUUGCCCCUUGUUACCGGUCGUCUCGAGCCAGAAGCGGACUCGGUCGGGCGAUUAGGGACCUGGGUGAACGUUUUGGUAUACUCGAGUAUUACCUUGUAGGUUGGUGCAGGUUGGUGGAGCCUGGUGAAUGAAUGAAUGAACGAAUGAAUGAAUGAGGGUUUUACUUAUAUACAAAUGCAUUUUCAAAUGAUUGAAGGUAUAAGGGAACGAAAGGAGAAUGAAUGAACGAAUGAAUGAACAAAUGGCUCCUUGUAAGCACGUAUCCUUUUAAUGAAGGUGUUUAUCGCUUUCUUUUGUAUUUGAAUUAUUGGUAACAUGUAAUGAAUGCAUUGAAUUCUUGUUGCCUAUGUGUUCGGAACCUCACUGAGCUUAUAGCUCACCCCUUUUAGUUUGUUUUCCUUAACAGGGGAAGGCGAGCAAGGACGAGAGCCGGUAUAGACUAGCUGGGUCUAGCCCUUGGUUUUCUUUUAUCAUGGUUCUCGCCCUAGUGCUUGGCACGGGCUGGUUGUAUGGUGAUUUGAGAACUUCUGUAUAUUUGACGGUUGUACUUCUUCUUGCGAUAUUAUUGUAUAUACGUUUUGUUUUAAGUUGGAUCGUGGUUAGAUAUUCUUAUGGUUGCUUAAAGUGAUCGACUGAGUCCCGGCGAGAGCUGGGCAGGUAGUCCGCUGAACCCUUUGGUUCGCCUUAGGGGAAAGUGGGGCUGUCACAUUCUAUGUCUCUGUUGACUGCUGCAAUAGAUCCUUGGCUAUCCUGUCAUUGCCAAACUAUAGUGGGCAGUUAGACUUGGAACAAACAUUCUUGAAAUAUUGAAACAAAGUGUUUUUGAUGUUGUCAACCCAUCAAGCAAAUUUUUGAUACCUUGCUAAAGAAUUGAUUUGAAGGCCAAAAAAUUCUUCAAAUUCUUGUUUAUGAUUUACCACUUAAAAAGUUGUGAACUUAUCUAUGCUACCUGGUAUGACAUAAAAUUGAACUUGCUUCAAAAAAUCAUUUAGAUAAGUGUGAUAUACCAAUUUAAUAGACUUGUAUGUUAAACAAACCUGCAUACCCUUCAUCAGAAUUGACUAAUUUUAUACUAGGUGCCUACUUGCUUGGAAGGUCAACAUAAGAAAUAAUAAAACUGAUAAAAGUUGCCUUUGACUACCUAGACUUUCUUUUCAUGAGCAUAUUAAGCUCUAGUUUUGACCCAUUUUUUCUCUUUAGUUUUGGAUGCUAAUGACCAUACUUUUAGUUAAUAUCCAAAUGAUACAUUAAAAAAAUGAUUGAGUUUAUUUGCUAGCAAAUCCUUAAGUUUUCUAUUUGUUCUUGUCAAGUUUUGCUUUUCACUUACUAAUUCUUGUACUAUUUUAAUGUAGAUAUAUGUUGUCUAUUCAAACAUUUUGGGAGAGCAGCAGUAGCAAUGACUGCUUGACUGAAGAACAAUGGAGACGAAGCUAUCUUUUGCUUAGGAAGUGUUUAGGCAUUAGACAUUUGCUUUAGGAAUCGAAAUUAUUUUGUAUUUGUGAAAAUUUAGACUGCAUACAACUUAUCAAAGUAUGGGUAAUAUUGAAUAUUUUGGCUUAUUUAAUGUAAUGGAUCUCUUUGGUUAUUUAUUGGCAAGCUUUGUUAUUUUGCUUUCAUUUUUAAGACAUAAUUGACUGAUUCUAGUUGGAAAAGUGUUUUCAUGAAACAAUAGUGACAAGGUGAAUUUCUCCAUUGACAACAAUCUGUUGUCACUAAAUGAAAAGACAUUCAGUGACUACAAAAGUUGUCAGUAAUUAAUCAAUAUUAGAUGACCUCAGACUAGUUUUUAUUGACGAUAUUGCUCCAGGUAUCAAUGACAAGUCUCAAGUUGUCACUAGAAUUAUAUUAGUUACUGACGACAAUUGUUGUCACUAGUAAGUACUAUUCACUGAUGACUUUUAAGGUGAUCAAUGUAUACUUUUACCGACGGGCAUUUAGUGACGACUCUGUGACGAUCUAAAACUUGUCAAUAAAAGUCAUUACUGACAACUUUAUAUUUUUUUGUGACAAAAACACCUUGUCACUGAUGUUCAAUUUUCUUGUAGUGUGUAGUGAGUCAGUGAGUCCCAGCGAGAGUUGGGCAGGUGGUCCGCUGAACCCUUUGGUUCGCCUUUGGGGGAGGUGGGGCUAUCACAGUUGGUAUCAGAUCUUAGGCUUCAGAUCUCUGUAGUGUAUCCUAGGCUAACGUUUAGGAUGCCCGACUGUGGGACUGGUUUGAAAAUGGUAAACGUAAGAUAUGACUUGGUUGCUCCCAAGAGUACAUCAACCGUGUGACGGCCCCACCUCCCCCUAGGGCUUACCCCAGGGUUCGGCGGACCGCCUGCCCAGCUCUCGCCAGGACUCACUCACUCGAAUCACGUGCAUACAUCCAUGGACCGUAAUUAACAUCGCAAUUCAAGCUUAGAAUUUACAUUGAUGAAAAUCAAGGUACAAAGCCUCAAUAUACCCAAACUGGUUCAAAGCGGAUACAAUGCAAAUACAAAACAUUCUAUUCGAGGAAUAGCGCGAGUACAAGACAAAAGUCAAAAGUCAAACAACUAGACUACGCUAGUCUUUACACAUCUCACGCCUCGCUCGUACCCCUGUAAGGAAAACAAAUAGCGUGGAAUGAGCUAAAUGCCCAGUGAGGUUCCACAUAACAAAUUGACCAUUUUAAAAGUACGAGUAUCAACAUAGCAAGUUAAUGGCAUCAAAAUUCAUAAGAGUGGACAAUAAUAUUUCAAGUAGCAAAUUUCCAAAUGAUCAAGUAUAAAGUGCUUUUGGUUUUCAAAAGGAACAACAAUCCGAUAAGCAAUAAUCAUUGUCAAGUAUAAGGAUACAGAAGGCUCUCAGGAGCCAAAUUCCCAUUGCAUCUCCAGAGCUUGAUCAAGUAACAGUUGACACUCCGUCAACUUUCAAGUAAGUAACCAAUCCAGUAGAACACCACUUAAAUGACUCUCCAUCCACCGUUCAAACCCCCAGCUGGGCCCAAAAUCCUCAAGAACACGGGUGGUAAUACUCGAGUAUACCGAUUAGCCGAGGAGAUAUCACUCCACUCGACAAAACAAGAGACCCAGGGUUCAUUACCCAAUCGACCAAGCCCUUGCCGGCUCGACUUAAGUAACUCGCCACAGGGUUUCUGGAAUUCCAGGAAGUGCGCGCAUCAUAAACGAGUAUAUCAAGUCAAUUGCAACAAUAAAUGAGUAUACAUCACAUAAGGGCAAGUGCGAUAAAGUACACUCUUGCCCUAACAAUUCACGUAUAUAACAUGUAAUCAUAUCAGUCACGUAUCAAGUUCAAGUAUCAGGUUCAAUUCGGUAUUUGAAAGCACUCACCAAAAGAUAUAGUGCCUUUACUGGUCACUUUCAGGUUAUACUCCGGGUUCGGAGUCCAAAUCUGCGAUAAAAUUCAGUUUGAGAACUUUGAAACAUGACUAAGAUUCGAAACUUAAACGUUUCGUUCAAUAAAAAUCAAGAAAUUGGAAUUCACUUGGAGAGUAGUCGUUAAACACUUACUCGCUUUUUAAACGAUAAAACUUUGUAACAUUUACUCACUUUCUCAUUCAAACCCAAAAGUACACACACAAAAAUCUAACUUCAAUAGUCGUCCAAUAGGCUCAAGAUAACAUAAGGACAACAAUCAUACUAGUAACAAGUACGGAAAUGAUAUUAAACAAAAACAGAUUUGACGGGUUUUUACGGAAAUGACACAACCGAUACUAUGCUUAUCGGAUUGAGAUGAAAAUUAUACUGUUUCGAAGCUAAGACAUAGGGGUACAAUGUUCAUGAAGAUUACUUAGUUCAAUUUCUAGCAUAACCUGGUCAAAUUCCCAAAUUACAGAGCCAACUUCCAACUAUACGGCUAAUUAACUGCACUGCACUAGUAUGGUCAUAUCUCAGGCUACCAAGGUCCGUUUAAGGUGUUCUUGGAGGCGUUUAAAAGCUAAGACAGAGUACUAAAACUUUCAUGUUUUGGAAAAUGACUAAAUCUGAACGGAUCAUAGUGAAUAAACACGACCAAGAAGACUAAACUGUCCACGCGGAACACUGGAAUUUAACCUAGAACAGUGAGGGUAUUUUCAUUGCUCCGAUUGAGCUAAAAUUUUGUAGACAACUAUAAAAUACCAUUCUAUACAAGUUUCAUGUUUUAACCUAAGGCCAAUUCUAUGGCGACCCCACUUCCCCCUAUGGCGAACCAAAGGGUUGGCGGGCCGUCUGCCCAGCUCUCGCCAGGACUCACGCAAGCAUUUUAACCCAAAUCCAUUCGAAGGAUAACUUAAUCUAUGAUAAAACAAUUUUUUUUUUCACAACUAGGGCCAUCCUUAAAACCGCAUUAACUUCAGAGAUAGCAAAGAUAAAUUUGCCAGUCAUGGCUCUUAAACUUCCCACGUACUACGUACUAAAGUAUAAGGUCGUACCAAUCCGGAUAGAUAACUACAUAAAUCUCUAUUACAAACAUACAAGCCAAGUAACCGAAUUAGGGUUUACACAUUUUUCAGCUUCAAGUGGCAAUCCAAAGAAAAGGAAAUACAUUAUUCCAAAACACAUUACAGCCCAUAGAAUAGGUUAUAGUAUUCCAAUACAAUCCAAAAGGGAAACAUAAGUAAGCAUCCAGCUUUCAGUUUCCAGAACCUGUUAAGGAAAACAAUAAACGUGGGGUGAGCUAAAGCUCAGUGGUGCCCAAAACAUGCAAUCACAUAAAUCAAACAGCGAGUAAUAAUUUAAUCAAAUUGAACAGUUAAGAAAGCGUGUAACAGCACAAGGUAGGAUACAGGGGCUCUCAGGAGCCAGUUUCCACGCUUGACCAGAUACCAUCGUAGUUGACCUUCCGUCAACUUUCACUACUUAUAGUCCAUGUAGAUCCACUUAUUUUAAUCCUAACCCGUCAUCAUUCAUACCUCUGCUUCGGGCCCGAACUUCGUCUACCGACGCAGUAUACUCGAGAUAUACCCGUAAUAAAUUAGUCGAGGGAUUCACCCAACGACGUUUUGGUAGUUGGAUUCAGAAGUCGAGGGAUUCACCCAACGACGCAACUACAUUUAGAUUCACGGAUUCAGAUGUUAUGGUAGUUGGAUUCACAUGUCGAGGGAUUCACCCAACGACGCAACUACAUUUAGAUUCACGGAUUCAUUAGAAAAUGUUUCACACAAGUCACUACUCGAAUGGCUAGUGCAAUAAAGUAUACACUGCUCACUUCGAUGGAUCAGAAACCAUUUAUUGCAUUUUGACAAUUAUCACAUAGCGAGUUGAUAAAGCACUUAACCACGUAGGCAUAAAACAAGCAGAGACACUCACCAAGAGUGAAGUUCAGAUAUCGAAUGAGGAAUCGAAUUCCACGUCCUCGCAAUAUCCUAAAAAAAUCAGGUUUUGAAACUAUAAGUUACUAUACAGCCUCUGAGCUUGUAAAUAUCGAGGUAUACCUAAUAUAUUACUAUUUUACUAAAAUAGGAUUUCUUGCCGCGCAAGUUUCCCAAGCUUUUCACUAAAUUUAGUAAAACUCGUAGUUUGGAACUUUUCCUAUAGUUAACUAUCCAGAAGCAAUACUUAAGGAAACAAAAGGAUUUAAUAUAAAGCUUAGGUUUUCAAAAGCUAUAUAGUUUAUUUACUAUAGUUAUCGAGGCUAGUUUGAACUAAAGGAAAUUAUCAAGUUGGAAAGUUUUAGGCCGAAACACUAGAUUUUGAGUUUUAUAAUUUAAUACUAGCUGGGAAAUAUUUUUGAUUGCUUUGAUCACAGCUCCUCGAGUUCGCAAGGUCGAUACAAUUUCCGUAGCUCCGAUUCCGGUUCGAAAUCAUAAUAUGGAUCAAAAUAUGGCAAAAAUCACAUAUCAAAUUACUAGGGCUUCGUCAAUCAUUAGCCCUAGAUUUCAACAAGUGCAUUUCUGAAUAAAAUAAAAUGAUCAACUAAGGCUUCAUCAAUCAUUAGCACUUGGUUUUAGCCAGCCCAUCAUAAGCAAAUAAAAAUAAAAGUAAAGCCUUCAAGACAUUCAAGCAAUUUAACUUCCAUCACCCUGUAGUACUUAUAAAAUCAUUCAAAUGGCCAAGGGCUUCAUCAAUCAUUAGCCCUUGACAUCAUCAAUUACUUCCAACCAUAAUUCAGUCAAGAAUUUGAACCACUAGUAAGAUAAAAGCUCAAUCCGAAUUCAAGUUUAGUUUCACAAUGAAACAAGUCAUUCAUGCAAAACAGUCCAGUUCAAAACUAGAUUCAUUCGGCAACUAAAAUCAUCCAGAAAAUCCAGAAAUUUUGUCCAUUAGCCACGAUGAACAUGCAUGAAGGAAUGUUCUGUAAUCAUUUUAUUUUUCUGGCUAAAACAUGCUUUAAAACUCUCAACUUCCUCAUGCAAUCUCUUAGCAAAACAAUGCGCAUCUCCAGAUCAGGAGUUGAAAUUAAACCAUGAUUACAAACUCCAAAAAUUUCCGGGUUUAAAUCUCACGACUCUUUCUCAAAAUUUCUAGCAAUAACAAUGGUUCUAAAACAGGAUUUUCUUUGGUUAAAACAGAAUUUUUUUUUUUGUACUCUAUGAGAACAGGUAAACACGUAGCUAGCUGGUAAAGGUUUUCAAAUCAAAUCCAGGUUCAAGCUACAAUUAUACUCAUCUAACACAAAUCCAGAAAUUUUACCAAUUAUUCUCGAAUGAUCAUUCAUGAACCAAUUUUUCGGCUUUCACUUUAUUUUCCAAGUUCCUAGUUUCAUUGCCCAAUCGUGUAACUCAACAUGCAGGCCAUUAAGCAUUUUGUCUUCACUUGGAUAGUUAGGGUUGUAACCACAGCUUGUCAUAAUUAAGCAAAUUAAGCAAAUCAUUUCUUAAUUAGUCUCGGCAGAAGGUUUUCAUCAAACUAGAAUUUCUUAGGUUCCUUAAUUCAUCAAUCAACUUCAUCGAAUUAACAUGCAGGGUCCUAGACAUCAUAAACAUUAAGUUCUACUCGGCUAAUUACACUUGAGUUGUGACGACCCCACUUCUCCCAAGGGCGAACCCAAGGGUAUCGGCGGGCCGCCUGCCUAGCUCGCGCCAGGACUCAAAACUUAAAGUUCGAAAGAGCACUAAAUACAAUAUAUACAACCCCAAAAGAGUUAUAAUUACAUUCUCCAAAAGUAUCGAGUCAAACCACCAGAACAAAAACAAACAUCCUAACUGUUCUAUUACAAGCCAAUCUAACUAUACUAGUAUACGAGCCAAAAGUCCCCGCGUCGGCCCCUGCUAAGGAAAACAAAAGGAAUGGGGUAAGCUAUAUGCUUAGUAAGUAAACAGGGGCGAAAGCAUAAAUUUCACGUAACAGUUACACAAUAAGAGUAAAGCAAAAGCAGAAAAGUAACAUCACAUAAUAAGGAUACAGGUGGCUCCAAAGCCAACUGAUGUGCCAUGCGUGAUAUCCUGCCGACACUCCGUCGACUGCAAAUAAUAGUUCGUAGAACUUCACUUGUACACCCACCGACACCUUAUCACCCUCACUGGCCAGUCACCUCACAAACUUGCCCGGGCGAACGAAAUCACAAACUUGAGCUUGAGUCACAAGCUCGGGUCACAAACUUGGUCACCUUCUCGGUGAACCAGAUUCACAAAAUUGGUUCAUAAAAUGAACCUACAAACUUGGUGACCUCAGACUAAGUUGGACUGCCUUCGACCAAGCCCUAACCGGCUCGAAUAGUCCAACCAAGUCAAGAGUUCGCCCCAAACUCACAAACUUCACAAAAUUAUUCAAAAUCACAAACUUUGCAAACUUCACAAACUUUAUUCGAAAGUCGCCCCGAGCCACAAGCUCAAGGGUUUUGGUUCCAAAAGGUUCAUAUACAUAUCCCAAGUACAAUUAUACAUUCAAAUUAGGGUUUAGGUCGAGUGCGAUAAAGUACACCCUCGCCUAAGUGCCCUUUUCACAUAUCUCAAACACAUAGCAAAGAAAACACACCCAACCGGCCUGAAUACUUACUCAAAAUACCAAAAGUAGUACGGAAGCAAAAUCGCUUCGCGCGUUCGCUAGUAGUGGGCCCCACCGGCUCCGCCUAGCUCACCGCUGUCAAGAAACAAGAGAGAGGAGGAUGUUGGACACCUUAAACCUUCAAACAAGCUUCACUAAAGCACUCACUAUCACAAAAAGGAAAGAUUUUAUGGAGUGGAAUUGGAUCUAACAAAUGUUUUUGGAUGAUUUGCACCAAGUAGAAGCUUGAAAGUUGAAGAAAUUUCCUUCCUUGUGGAGCUUGAGAGGGCCGGCUAUGGCGAAGAAAGAAUGAGGAAAUUUUAAUGAAUUUUUAAGAUAUUUAACAUUUGGUCAAAAAAAGUCAAGAAAGUGAAUAGUAAUUCUUAAGUCUUCUCCAAUGAAAUGGUGACACUUGUCACCACCAUUAAUGCAUUCCUAUCCUUUCUUUUCUCUCUCACAUCAAUCAUAUCUCACUCUCUACUUAUCUCUUAACACCCGAUAAAUUUUACACAGUAUCCGGAAUUUAACCUAAUUGGCCGAAUUUUUCCGAACUUUUCGCACUAGUGGGUCCCACAUCCGAUAUACGUUCUUAAUUUCUCAAAAUCUAACCAAUACUAGAAAAAUCAUCUAAAAACUAUAUUUACUCAUACAAAUUAUCUGGAGAAUUUUCUAAUAAAGAAAAUGUAGAAAAAACGGGUUUUCAAUCUUAACCGGAACUUAGGGUUUAAAUCUUAAUCCCUACUUAGUGUUUUCGAAAUACUCCCAAAACCAAACGUUACCGCCCAAUUAAUGAAUAUAUCAACGUAGAACGAACUGGGGCCUCACAAUCUCCCCCACUUAGGACAAUUUCGUCCUCGAAAUUUCUAUGAACGGAAUCUAUCAAAUCUAAAGUAACCAGUAGCCUGUUGGGCAAAACAAUGGAUCAUAAUCAAUUCUUGAACACAAGUGGCAUUCUCGUCCAUGUUUUGUUCAGCUAUUGUUUCCUCCCUUUCUUCUCUUGACUCUCGGCCUCGUUUUUGUUCCACAGUUAUGACCAUGUCCGCGACUAUGUCUUCCUUCCACAUAUAUACACACAUAUAUAUAUAUAUAGUUUUCCCUUCUCCCUCUUUUCUUUCCAAAAAGGUACUUUAAUGAAUGAAUGCAGUAAAUUGACUACAAUAACAAAAUCCAACAUACCAAUUACACAAAUAACAUAUCACACAUAACACGCCAUAUCAAAAGACGGACAAGCAAGUACACAAAUACAUAUCAAGUUGGACAGAUAACCAUGUACACAAACACAUAUACUAACAUCAGGUGGUCGUAAUACACGGGCGAACCAAAAGGAAAAGGUGAAGUCGUCCCAGUAUCAGCCCGUCUGAUCUCUCACGUCCCUUACUAUCCGAACUAGAUGUCCAUUGACCUUUUGUACGCAUUCUAGUCAGGCAAAGCCUGUUCAUGUUUCCAAAAUACAAGUCUCAAGUACCUAGUAGCUUGCAUCGCCUCAAUUCUGGAGUAUUCGGGCACAAGAAUCCGAAAUAAGAUAGUUCACAUCUCGAGCUGGCCAGUCCCAAGAGUAAACCAUCUACAAAUCGAACUUCCUACCCCGACAUACCUAUCUAUGGUUCUUAGAUACCAUGAGAAAGAUUGAAGACCUAUAACACUUCAGAGUUCAUAGCUUAUGCUCGAACGAGCACUUAAUCCUUCAUACCCAUUCACCACUCAGCCCAACCUCACUCCGCGCGGAGACCACGCGAAGCAGGCUCUAGGUUUUAUCCCUCAAUUGCUUAACUUUCAAAUCAAAUCGAAUCCCACAGUCCGGCAUCCUAAACUUCAAGCCUGGGAUACACUACAGGAAUCUGAAGCCUAAGCUCUGAUACCAACUGUGACGACCCCACUUCUCCCAAGGGCGAACCCAAGGGUAUCGGCGGGCCGCCUGCCUAGCUUGCGCCAGGACUCAAAACUUAAAAUUCGAAAGAGCACUAAAUACAAUAUAUACAACCCAAAAGAGUUAUAAUUACAUUCUCCAAAAGUAUCGAGUCAAACCACCAGAACAAAAACAAACAUCCUAACUGUUCAACUAUUACAAGCCAAUCUAACUAUACUAGUAUACGAGCCAAAAGUCCCCGCGUCGGCCCCUGCUAAGGAAAACAAAAGGAAUGGGGUAAGCUAUAUGCUUAGUAAGUAAACAGGGGCGAAAGCAUAAAUUUCACGUAACAGUUACACAAUAAGAGUAAAGCAAAAGCAGAAAAGUAACAUCACAUAAUAAGGAUACAGGUGGCUCCAAAGCCAACUCAUGUGCCAUGCGUGAUCUCCUGCCGACACUCCGUCGACUGCAAAUAAUAGUCCGUAGAACUUCACUUGUACACCCACCGACACCUUAUCACCCUCACUGGCCAGUCACCUCACAAACUUGCCCGGCGAACGAAAUCACAAACUUGAGCUUGAGUCACAAGCUCGGUCACAAACUUGGUCACCUUCUCGGUGAACCAGAUUCACAAAAUUGGUUCAUAAAAUGAACCUACAAACUUGGUGACCUCAGACUAAGUUGGACUGCCUUCGACCAAGCCCUAACCGGCUCGAAUAGUCCAACCAGGUCAAGAGUUCGCCCCAAACUCACAAACUUCACAAAAUUAUUCAAAAUCACAAACUUUGCAAACUUCACAAACUUUAUUCGAAAGUCGCCCCGAGCCACAAGCUCAAGGGUUUUGGUUCCAAAAGGUUCAUAUACAUAUACCAAGUACAAUUAUACAUUCAAAUUAGGGUUUAGGUCGAGUGCGAUAAAGUACACCCUCGCCUAAGUGCCCUUUUCACAUAUCUCAAACACAUAGCAAAGAAAACACACCAAACCGGCCUGAAUACUUACUCAAAAUACCAAAAGUAGUACGGAAGCAAAAUCGCUUCGCGCGUUCGCUAGUAGUGGGCCCCACCGGCUCCGCCUAGCUCACCGCUGUCAAGAAACAAGAGAGAGGAGGAUGUUGGACACCUUAAACCUUCAAACAAGCUUCACUAAAGCACUCACUAUCACAAAAAGGAAAGAUUUUAUGGAGUGGAAUUGGAUCUAACAAAUGUUUUUGGAUGAUUUGCACCAAGUAGAAGCUUGAAAGUUGAAGAAAUUUCCUUCCUUGUGGAGCUUGAGAGGGCCGGCUAUGGUGAAGAAAGAAUGAGGAAAUUUUAAUGAAUUUUUAAGAUAUUUAACAUUUGGUCAAAAAAAGUCAAGAAAGUGAAUAGUAAUUCUUAAGUCUUCUCCAAUGAAAUGGUGACACUUGUCACCACCAUUAAUGCAUUCCUAUCCUUUCUUUUCUCUCUCACAUCAAUCAUAUCUCACUCUCUACUUAUCUCUUAACACCCGAUAAAUUUUACACAGUAUCCGGAAUUUAACCUAAUUGGCCGAAUUUUUCCGAACUUUUCACACUAGUGGGUCCCACGUCCGAUAUACGUUCUUAAUUUCUCAAAAUCUAACCAAUACUAGAAAAAUCAUCUAAAAACUAUAUUUACUCAUAAAAAUUAUCUGGAGAAUUUUCUAAUAAAGAAAAUGUAGAAAAAACGGGUUUUCAAUCUUAACCGGAACUUAGGGUUUAAAUCUUAAUCCCUACUUAGGGUUUUCGAAAUACUCCCAAAACCAAACGUUACCGCCCAAUUAAUGAAUAUAUCAACGUAGAACGAACUGGGGCCUCACAUGAGUGCUCAGGUUAUCACAAGAAAACAGAAUUUCAGUUGCAUUUCCAAACCAUUCUCUCGGCAGAAUCAUUCUCAACAAAACAGAAUUUUCUAAGCUCCUUAGUUCAUCAUCCGAUAUUUUCUUCAGUUAAAGCCUUUUAUUUUGCCCUUAAUUCUCACAUGCACAAUUGCUGAAUUAAUUAGCUAACAUCCAGACCAGAAAAUCAGCUCGGCAGUAGCAAAACACAUUCAUAAUUCCAGAACUUGGUGAGACUACACUCGGAUGAGUUUGCAUGUGAAAAGUUCUAUUUCAUUUUUUUUAUUUCCAAAGUAAUCCAAGCUAAUUAAAUUCAUGCAUGACCCUAAUCAUAAUAACCAUCCGAGAUUCGAUUAGUUAAUCCCCAAUGCAUGCUCAAAUCAUUUCCGGAAAACACAUUAGAGCUGAAAUUCCAACUCAGCUACUCGGCAGGGACAUUUAACCAAAACAGAAAUUUUCUAAUAACUUGAAUUCAUCAUCCGAUUGUACCACAAGACAUGCAUGACUUUAUCAUUUUGUUUUCAGGUGAUUAAACAAAUUCAACCUCUGAUCAUCCCACAAUUUACAUGCUUAGCACACGGCAGAACCAUUUACUCUUCCAAACCAGAUUCUGGUAGCUUAACAUCAAUUCAUCAUCUAGCUAAUUACAUCAUCCGAACUUAAAGUCCUCUCAUGCAAGUCCAGAGUUUGCUUAUAUUACCACUGGUUAUCUAUUUUAUAGUCCAGAAAUUUACCUCACUAGGUGCUCACUCACUCGACAGAACGCUGAAGUCUAUCCCUUUCUCUCGGCUCUUCUCCUCAAGCACGGGUAAGUUGGUUCUGGUUGGGUUGUAGUGGGUGCAGCUGGUGAUGGUGGAAGCUGGAUAACUACCGGCUGAGCUUGGGGAAUGCAGAGGAAAGUCUGCUCACGGCUCCUCCUCCUCUCUCCCUCUUCGAUGCUUGCGGUCAGAACCAGAAAUGGAAUCGCAACUCUCAGCUUCCUUCCUCACUCUCGGCUUUAUGGAGCAGCUCGACCUCUCCCUCAUUCUCGGUCGAUGAUAACAAUGUAAUGGUGGAGUGUGGCCUGAGGUGAAAGGCUGCAGAAGCUAUAGAGUGAAGGUAGAGUGUUGGUGAGGGUUGAGUGCGCAGAUGGUGAAGAAGGGCAUUGGCCGGAUGAAGAGGUGCAUGGUCAUUGUGUUCCAGGGAAGUGUUUGGUGUUGCGGAAAAUGGUUAUGGCCGUGGGUGAUGUUGUGAAAUUGUGAGGAGUAUUCUAGUCCUUUCACUUCUCCUCCUAUUAUUCACUUAAGUCCUUAGUUCUAACUUAGCUCCAAAAAUUAUUCCCAAAUGUGAUUUGAACGCCUAAUGAUUCUCUAAUCUUGCAAGGCUUUGGUUAUCGAAAUUUUAUGUCCUAAAUAUGGUUAGAGUACUUGUAUUGUUUUUAUCUAGAAUUUAUCGGUUGCAUAAAAAUAUUGAGAUAUCUAGCUACACUUAACCUUAUUCGAAAUUAGAAUUAGCUAUAUAACAAAAAUUAAGGAAUUAUUUUCAAGGAGUAAACUUAAUAUAAAUCAAGAAUUAUUAACUUAGUGUAGCAAAGCUAAGUGCUUUAAUAGUUAGCACCGAUAUAUUAUUUUGCACACGAAAAUUAUUUUAUUUACUUGUUUAAAACAAAUGAAAUAGCGUAGUAGAUUAGAAUAAGAACUUCGAAUGAAAUAUGCACUAGUAUAUAAAAGCGAGUGAUAGUAAUACUAGAAAAGAUUUAAAGAAUACGAAUGCUAAAUAAAAGUGAAAUUGAAAUAUGCAUUGGUAUUUCUGCAAAAUUCAAGGUUCUCACAAAUUCGGCCUCUAUCAUGAGGCAACAAAACCGGACAGAAAGAGGGGAAAAUUUCCUGAAAUCUGGAAUUUGUUGAUUUCAAUGCAACCUUUCAUGAUUUCUUGCUUCACUUGCUACCAAAACCCCUUAUAUAGCCUUAUAUACAACAUAUACUAACUAUACAAUAAGUUUAGGCAGAAAUUUAUUAACCCUAACUUGCAUAUAUCAUCCCAAAAAUCAUCACAUCCACUUGCAUAUCUUGUAAUCAAGCCAAAACAUGAACUAGAUGUCAUCUUAAACCAAAAUUUAAAAGACCAAAAACCAUAAUCAGAUCUUAUACCUCAAAGACAAGCUUGGAAGAGUGAUACUCCACCUCCAUUAGAAAUUUUUGUUUGCCCUAGCUUCUUAAGCCCACAACUAGCACUUUAAAUCGGUUUGGAAGUUUGAUUUCUCACUUGGAUAGCUAAGAUCAAGAAGAAGAAAGUUGUUUUUGUUCUCUCUUUUCUCUCUCUCUUUGGUCGGCCAAGCUGCUGAAAUAAUGAAGAGGAAAGGUGCAAAAAUUGGAAUAAAAGGAUGGUUACUCUCUUGGUCAAGAAACUCUGUCGCCCACACCACCUCUCAUUUUUCUCUUUCUUUUCCUUGCUAUUUUUAGUCCACAUUUUCGGUCAAGCAAGCUGGCAAUGAGGGGGGAUAUUUUGCUCAAGUAUUAAUGCUCAUGUGAUAAGAAAGUGGUGGUCAAGUGGUGCGUUCAAUCGGUAGUGCGCGGUACCCGCCGGUUCGCGCCGUUUUUCUUUAAAACACACGUACUAGGGUUUUUACUUCCUAUUCACUAACCUUAUAUCAUUGCUCCUAAUCAUGUAUUAUUUCUCACCUAACAGUCACUUUUAAUCACCAAGUUUGAUCCUUGCUCCGUACCAAAAAAUCAUCCGGUGAAAAAUCGCAAAAACCCUAAUUUGCUCCAAUCUUGGAAACGAAGAGCGAAACCCUACUUCCUAGGUUUAUUUGUACUUAUUGUGAAAUGACUGGGUGGUAGGGCUUUAAUAAAUGAAUAAUUUCCAAAUAAAAGAAAAUUUUUAAGAAAAACGUGAGAGAUUUUACAAUUCCAGUAAUUAAAAUUAGGGUUUCAAUUAAAAUAUGAGAGAUUUAAGAAAACCAGUUAGUCACAAGUAAACUAGAGUUUUUGAUUAAAAUUUUAGGGUUUCUAAUCUUUUAAAACAGAAUAAGGUUUUAAAUCAAAUCCAAAGUAAUACACUUUAGUAUCUUCUUUACAAACAACCUCCUAAUAUUCGGGGUGUCACAAUCUCCCCUCCUUAAUGAAUUUCGUCCUCGAAAUUCAUACAUGCACUUCGAGUAAUGUAGGGUAUUUCCUUAUAUAUUCAUUUCUAGCUCUCAGGUCUCACUAUAGCCAAAACUUAGUUAAACAGUAGGAAUCACGAAUCGUACCUUCUACGUUCCCUUCCCCCUUCGACGGUCCAGGGUUGGUCUUGGUCCAGUUAUGGGCCCUUUUCUUUUCUCGUAAUAGAACUAGACAAUCAGCAAUCCAAUGCUUGGUGCUCCCACAUCGCAGGCAUUCUCCCCCUUUUUUCCAACAAUUCUCCUUAGUAUGAUUGGUUUUUCCACAAUAGCCACAAGAUAAGUGGAGGAUUGAAGUUUGAUCUCCUUGUGAGACAGCUUUUAGUUGCCCUCCUCCAGCUGAGGCUCCUCUCAGAGUACCUUCUUUUGAUGUCUCCAAAAUUUUCACACCACUAGCUCCUCGACCUACUUUAAAGGGCGGCCUAUCUUGUUCGCCUUGUUCUUGACUUUGAUUUUCACUAGGUACAUCCCUUUUUCUUGAAUGGAAGCCCUUCACUUGUGCCCUUGAAAUUUCUAUCCUUUGGGCUUUUUCUGGGUUCUUCGUAAAAGUUUUACCUUGUGCCAUUGCUAAAACCUCUUCAGGAAUCCCUUCGUAUUGCCUUUUUAGUUCUAUGUCCUCGUGCAAUAGCUCAAUUUUCUCCGAAUAUUCGUGUUUUCAUUGCCCUUCCCAAUGCUCAGCUAGUCUCUUUUGGACCUCUAUUUCAUUUCGAAGAACCUCGAUUUCCUUAUAUAUAUCAUCCAAUUGUGCCAUCUCACAGAUUCACUGGGACUUAAGUGAUAGCCUGUCAGGCAGAUCAAUAGAUCAGGGUAAGUAACUAAGCACAAGUAAUAAUCUAACCAUACACCGAUUGGUUGAAAAAUCGAAUGAAACGGACGGGAGGGUAGAACAUAAUCAGGGCAAUAUCUUAAAAUGACAUCAAGGGAGCAUAACUAAGGGGAGAAGAAAGAAAUCGGUCUUCGGCGAGACUUUCUCGACAUAUACUACAACCUAAUCAUCCUCUAUAGGAACCCUAGCCAAACUAUUACUCGAUUCGUCCAUGAAAACACUCCUGGGUGUUCAGGUACAAGAAUCCACAAUAAGGUAAUUCACAACUCAAGCCGGGUCCCAAGAGUAAAUCACCCAUAUUAGAGAUUCCUACCCAGCAUACAUAUCUAAGGUCCCUAACAAUAGACAAUUGUUCCACACUUAACAAGUCAAUCCCCACAGACCAAGAACCUUCUCCCGGCACGAGCUCGAUAGGAGCUCUGAUACCACCUGUGACGGCCCCACCUCCCCCUAGGGCUUACUGUGACGGCCCCACUUCCCCCUAGGGCGUACCAAAGGGUUCGACGGGUCGCCUGCCCAGCUCUCGCUAGGACUCACUCGUUCACUUCAAUGCUCAAUUAAAAUCGAAAUAAAUCAUGGGAAUAAAUAUAACGACGAUCCAAAACUUAACGCAAAACUUAUGUACAUUACUAUCUCAAAAGGGAGUACAAACAUCGAAUAUAAAAAGGUUCUCAGUUCACCACACAUCCAGCCCGUGCCAAGCACUAGGGUGAGAACCAUUACAAACCAAAAACUAGUCUAGGCUAGUCUAAACUGAGCUCUCGUCCUUGCUCGCCUUCCCCUGUUAAGGAAAACAAACUAAAGGGGUGAGCUAAAAGCUCAGUGAGAUUCUAUAUACAAAAACAAGUAAUUGAACAAGGACAUUAAUCAUGUAAUAACAAAUAAUCCAGAAAACAUGUCCAAUAUAAAGCAAUGAUAAUGCAUUCAUUAAAAGGAUACGGGCUCACAAGGAGCUAUUUGUUCAUUCAUUCGUUCCAUUGACUUUUCCCCUUAUUACUCCAAUUAUUUGAAAACUUCCUUUUUUUUUUUAGAAGUAAAACCCUCGUGCCUGCGUUCAUUCAUUCAUCCCUUUCCGGACGUUGGCCGGACUCCACCAUCCGGACGUUGGCCGGACUCCACCCAUCCGGACAUGGCCGGACUACAAGGUAAUACUCGAGUAUACCAAAUGUUCACCCAGGUCACCAUAUCGCCAGACCGAGUCCGCUUCUGGCUCGAGUCGAUCGUAACAAGAGCAAUGGCCAGUUCAGCCAAAAGGCUUACAUUCAUGUGCAACUAGUAUUUCAACAUUUAAUCACCGAAAAUUUCAUAUUUAUUUAGGUCGAGUGCGAUAAAGUACACACUCACCUAGCAAAAAUUCAUUUUAGAAAUCAUAGAAAACAAGUAACAUUUAAUCAAAUAGUCAAAAUAAUCACAUAGACCCAACAAUCCACAUAGUCAUAGAAACAAAACGUAUAUAGAACACUGACCUAUUUAAGCAAAAUAAUGUCCAAAGUAUCCUCCCGGAUAACACUCUCAAUCGCCAAGAAAUCCUAAUAAUAGCCAAAGAAAAUAUGACAGUUAAACCCUCAAAGGUUAAGUGGACCAAAGAAAAUUCAAAUAUAACUAUAAUACAAUGUUGUAAGUAUAGUUUUCUAGUCCUCGAGCGUAAAUUUGGCAGCAUACCCUUUGUGUUUACCAAAUUUCCACCAUUUUGGCUUCAUUAUUUUUCUCAAUCCAACCCAAAGUUGUCCAUGACACAAAUUCAGUUCAAUACCAUUUCAUAGGCUCAAUACAAUACUAAGAACAAAAAUUAAGUGAUAACAAGUCAAAUGUAACCUAGCGAAAGACAGGUUUGACGUGUGUUGCGAAAGAAUACAUCGAGGCUAUGCUUAUCGAUUGGUAUGUAACUUAUACCGUUUCGAAGCUAAGACGAAUUCCUACAACUUCCAUGAAGGUAACUUAGUCAGAUUUCCAGGGUAACCUGGUCAUAUUCCCAAGUUACAGAACCAACUUCCAACUUGAUGGCUAAUUAACCGCACUAGACUAGAAUAGUCAUAUCUCAGGCUACCAAGGUCCGUUUAAGGUGUCCUUGGAUGCGUUUAAAAUCUAAGACAGAGUACUAAAACUUUCAUGUUUUGGAAAAAGGCUAAAUCAGUACGGAUCCUAGUGAAUAAACAUGAUAAACUGGAUAAACUGACCAAACGGACUACUGGGAAAAACCUUAAAAUAGUUAGGGUGUUUUGGUCUUUUCACAGGCUACGUUGCUCCGAUUGAGCUGAACUUUUGUAGGAAUCUAUAAAAUACCAUUAUCUACAAAUUUCAUGUUUUAUGCCAAGCCCAAUUCGGCCUCUAACAUGGUGCAACAAAAACGGGCAGAAUAGGAUGAAAAUUUCCAGAAAUCUGAAAUCUUUUUGGUUUCAAUGAUAGUUUCUUAAUUUCUUGCUACUCUUGCUACCAAAACCCCCUAUAUAACCUUAUAUAACAACAUAACUAAUACAACAAGUUUAGGCAGAAAAUUAAUCAAACUCUAACUUACAUAUUUCAUCCAAAUCACCACAACAACUUGCAUCACUUGUAAUCAACCCAAACAUGGACUAUUUAACAUCUUAAACAAGAAUAAAAGGAUCAAAGCCAUAGAUCAGAUUUUAUACCUCAAAAAGUAGGCUUGCAAGAGUGAUCCUCCACUAUUUCUUGAAAUUUUUUUGGUUCCCUUAGCUUCCCAAGCUUCCAAACUUACAAUCAAUCGGUUAGAAUUCGAUUUUAGCACUUGGUUGGUGUAAAUCAAGAAGAAAAUUGUUUUAUCUUGCUCUCCUUUCUCUCUCUCUCUUUGGUCGGCCAUGAAGAAGAAGAAAUGAGGAAGAUUAAGCUUAGUUUGUCUUAUAAGAAGGUUGGAAGAUAAGAAUUAAUUCUAAUCACAAGUUUGGCCAACACUUGGCUUAACCUCAACCACAAAAAUUUUCUCUUUCUUUCCUUGCAUUUUAACCACUAAAUUUCGGCAAUAGGAGAGCUAAGAGGGGGAAGAUAUUUUGCUCCAUUAGUGAUAACUUGUAUGCAAGAAAGUGGUGAUCAAGUAGUGCGUUCAAUCGGUAGUGCACGGUACCCGCCGUCGUUCGCGCCGUUUUUUCUUUUUAAAACACACAUACUAGGGUUUUUCCUUCCUAUUCACUAACCUUAUAUCAUUGCUCCUAAUUACAUAUUAUUUCUCACUUAAAAGUCACUCUUAAUCACCAAAUUUGGUCCUUGCUCCGUACUGAAAAAUCAUCCGGCGAAAAAUCGCGAAAACCCUAAUUUGCCCCAAUCUUGAAAACAAAGAGUGAAACCCUACUUUCUAGGUUCAUUUGCACUUAUUAGAGAAUAAUUGGGUAGUAGGGCUUUAAUAAAUAAUAAUUCCAAAUAAAAGGGCAUUUUUCUUUUGAGAAAAUAUAAGAAAUUUGCGAGUCCUCACACUUACCCCAGGGUUCGGCGGACCGCCUGCCCAGCUCUCGCCAGGACUCACUCACUCACUCACUCGAAUCACGUGCAUACAUCCAUGGACCGUAAUUAACAUCGCAAUUCAAGCUUAGAAUUUACAUUGAUGAAAAUCAAGGUACAAAGCCUCAAUAUUAGGCUGAGCUCACUUGAGACUGGAAUCUGUUUCGGCGAGUGUGCUCUUACGUACACUCAAUGGACCUGAUUAGACUGAAUAUAUGGUAUCUCUUUUACGCAUGAGUAAAUAACUUGAUUCGUAUAUGACCUGCAACUGGACUUGAAUUCUGUGACUGCUUGAUAAUGUGAAUUGCUCGACAUAGGCUAGGCGAGUGAGUUCCUAUUCGUACCCAUGCUCCAUGAACUUGAAGUAAUUGACCCUGCUUUUGAACUUGUAUGCUUUUAUGUGUGGUUGUAAACCGGCUACUACUCUUCCGUAGCGGUUGAACUGAACCUCUAUGUUGGGACAUUGCCUGUUGUGUUAUCAAGCACCGCCAUUCUUCUGGCGUGGCAUGCCUG
rnacentral:lncRNA from 1 species